rnacentral:lncRNA from 1 species
UUUUUUUUUUUUUUUUUUCCUUUUUCCUUUUUCCUUUUUCCUUUUAAUAUAUCUUACAUAAGCAAGCAAAUUUUUAACUAAAAUAUUAUCUUUUUAUUUUAAAAAUAUUCUAAUAAUUUUAGAAAGAUUAGAGGAGAAAUAUCUGAUAAUAUUUGCUCUGAACUUAAAUAAUGAGUUUAUUUCUUUUAAAAAUCAUAUAAAUUGCGUCUAAAUAGCAUACACAGAGUUAAAGAUAAAUUUUAAAAGUUCAAUCUUUAUCUGAAGAAAUAAAAAGAAGUUUAAGAAGAACUAAAACCUAUAACAUAAAAUGACAAAUUCUAAGAACAUAUUUUUAAGGUAUAUUUUGGAUAAUAAAAAAAGCUUUGAUUGAUAUUGGAAUAUCACCAUCUCAAUCUAUUUAAUCUAUUGGUUUUUAUAAACUAAUAGAUGAUUACAUCUCCACAAAAAAAAUCUAAUUUUGAAAUUAAUUAGUUGAUUUUUUUAAAAAUAUAUUAUAUAUUAUAUCUAAAUUUACAAAACCUAAAAUCCACAAAGUAGGUAUUUGAUUAAAUAUAUAUUUUACUAUAAUUAAAACAAUUUUAUAUUCUUAUUGAUUAGAUUUAUCAAUUUUUCUAUAAAAAGAACUUAUUUUUAAGAAGAUUUUGCUAAGAUCUUUAGAUUAGUCCUAAAAUUCAAGAAAUCAAAUAAAAACAAAAUGGUAACAUUAUUUUCUAAUGCUACUGAAGAACUUCUAUUUUACUCUAGAUUAUACGAUUAGUCUUUUAAUAUUGACAUUAUGACUUAUACAAUCAAAUUAGAUUAAAAAAAUUAAUAUAAUUUAAACAUAAACUUUGGAACUUGAGCAAGUCCAAAUAGAAAUCAAUAUUGCCUCAAACUUCUCUUUUAAUUACAAGGAAUAAGAGCUUGGAAGCAAAAAAUAACAAAUUAUACAAAGAACUAACAUUUAAUUAUUUGAGGGCUAAAACUAAUUCAAAUAUUAAUAUUAAUAUUAAUCUUUUUAUUUUUUAAAAUGCUUAAGAGCUCUAAAACAAUUUUAUAGAAGUUUUGGAAGUAACCUCAUGUUUAGUAAGCAUAGAAUUAGAGAACACUUUUGUUAUAUAAAUUAACAUCUAAUCCAAGAUAGUAGAGACGUUAGAAAUUAACAAGGAGCUUUUUUGGUACAAAACUCUUUUAAAAUUUAAUUAAUUUAGGACAAUAUGGUAUAUUCUAGCGGCUCUGCUUCAGCAAGUGAUGCCGCAUGAAUCUGCUCUCUGACCACGCCAAGCAAAGUGAAACCAUUGAAAUAAAAAAAAAAAAAAAAAAAAAAAAAAAACCAACAAUGUUGGUUUUGUUUAUUUAUUAAUUUACUUUGUUAUUGCUUUUGCAAGGAAGUUCAGGUCUAACUAGGCAACUUAAAUGAUUGUAUAAUUUACUUUUUCCAAAACAAACUCUCAACCAACCAAUCAAGUCAACCUCAACUGGGCACUCGAUUUCGAUUGUAAACAAAAACUUGUUUAAGUCGCCGUAUACCGCUUUUUCAGCAUUCCACACCAUUUCCAAUAUUUGUAAAUAGUGUUCUAUUUCAGAUUUUGUCAUGAAAACGGUGUUGCCACAUUUUGACAAGAUUGCAUACCUCAUCACUAUCCCACACUAUCGAAUGAAUGGGAAGAAUUUUAUGUUUCUGGCGUGAAAGAUGUAGCGCAGAGCUUAACUACAAUUUUGUCCUUCGCAAGGAUCAGAAUGGCUUCAUCAAUUUGACUGUUGCGUACGUCUUGACUUGUGCCGAGGUAGGUUUUGUGUUUGUCAGUCCAGAAGCACUUGGAAGCUAGUUGCAAGUUUCCAGUGCAACUUCGCCGACCUCGCCGCAGACUAGUUUGCUUUUUACCUCAACAAGCUGACAGUCGGGCCUGCUCCUCGUCACACAGGAAAAAAGCCGUUUUUUUUAAUCCACGUGAGGUGCAUCUGAAACCUGUGAUGUGCGGUUCGAAAUGCAGAUGACUCUGAAAUGUCCAUCUCGGUUAGAACUGUGACCCCACUUCGUGUCUUGAUUCGGAGAAACCGAGUGACAAAAAGUCAGCAAGCUCUUAACAGAUUUGGUCAUCUAUCUGGAUGACCUUUAGAAAUAUUCAUUUGAUGAUUAUUAUAUUCCGAGGGAACACCCAUCACUGUGUUUUUGGAACUAUUUUUAUGGAACAUGGAUAACACAAAGUCUGAGAAAGAUGAGAUGUAGUAUGGGAUUUGAUUGCAACUGCCAUCUUUUACCUUCUACUUAAUGUAUUCUUACACCAAAACAUUUCAAUAAACCCCUAUCCUUGUCUAAUUGCAAACAAAUAAUUUUGUGUGAGUAUUUUUAUUUUAUUUUAGAACCCAAGAUUUUAAAAAUAAUCUGUACAUUGUUGUCUAAUAACAUGGCCAUUAUGUGGAAGAAGAGAGGUAGUAAAAAUUUAUAAGUGUAAAUAUUGCAUCCUUGUAGAAGAAACUUAUAUAUUCAUUUUGAUAGGGGCAUGAAUGAGCCAAAUCAAAAUAAAUGAAUACAUAAUUAAUAUAGGCAUCUUUAAGAGAGCAAGUUAAGAAUAGGUUUUAGAAAAAAUAUUAAGAAUUGAUACUUGGAGAAAACUAGUUGUGGACUAAGGUCAAAAUUAGACCCUAAGACUGAAAAUCGCACACCUACAAGGACUCCAAGGUUCUUGGAUUGAUUGGAAAGUGAGAUUUAAGAGUAGACUUAUGAGAAUAUUUUUGAAAGUUGAUUUCAUAUGAUUUGAAAUUAUAUUGAGGAUUUGAAAGCUUUUCAAAGUAAAAGGUAUAUUAUGUGGAUUUGGAUUUUAAGAAAUAAAAAGAAAUUAAAAAAAUUGAUGAUUUUAUGAAUAAUGUAGUAUAUUUACAAGUGAAAAUUUGUCAAUUUGUUAUUGUACUUGUUAUAAAUAUGUGUGUGAAAUUUGAUGUCAAUUGAGUGAUUAGAUUGGAGAUUGUAAGAAUUUUUGUAGAUUAUGGUCUUGGAUAAUUGAAAUUUAGGGCUAGUAAGGGUCUUUGCUAUCUUGCAACAUCUACUUGUUCAAUCGAAGAAAAGAUUUGUGAGAGCAAUUAUGACAUAAAUACCUACAAAUUAAAUAAGUUUUGGAGGAAUUAAAUGGUUCAAGAAGGAGAAAUUUUUGUUGAAAGAUCAAUAUUCAAGUUGGAAAAGGAUGGUGACCAAUAUUUGAGAGGUUUUAAAAAGUUUGUUUUUCAAUUGAUGUUAUCAAUUCUUUUAAAAUUUUGUAUGAUUGUAAAUUGCUUGUAGAUUAAUGUUUGGAUGAAAUUUUAGUUAAAAUCAAUAGUUUAAUUAAUAUUUCUUAAGGUUUCAAAAUAAUUUAUAUAACUGAUUAAGAUUUAUUUAUAUUUUUAUAGAAUUAUUUAGAAAUUAUUUAGGAAUUAUUUAGGAAUUAUUAAGGAUUUAAUUAGAAUUUAAGAUUUGAUUAAGAUUUAAAAUUUGAUUAGAAUUUCAUUAGAAUUUAUACUAGGAUUUGGAUUUAGAAUUUGAUUAGGGUUUGAUUCAAGGUUUGAUUCAAGAUUUGAUUAGGAUUUAAUUAGAAUUUGGUUAGGAUUUUAUUAGGAUUUGGUCUAAGAUUAAUAUUUAGAAUUUUAUUUAGAUUUGUUAGGAUUAAUUUAGAAUUUAUUUAAGAAUUGUUGAAGAUUAUAUUAGAUUUUAGCUAGGGAUAAAUUAUGAUUUUUAUUUUUAAUAUUUCUUUAAAAUUUAUUUUAUUUAAAAAAAAAAUUAUAUACAUAUAUAGGAUUGAUUUAUGAUUUCUUUAUGUUUAUUUUUGUAAGUUCUUUGAAUUUUUUUUGAAUUUUAAAUAAUGAUUGAUUUUUAUUAUUUUAAUUUAAUUAGAAUUUAUUUAGAAUUCUAUUAGAGUCACGGAUAUACAUAUUUACUCUAAUAUUUACCUAUAUGAUUAAAUAAAAGUAAUAAUAAUAGUUUUAUUUCAUAAUAUAUUUUAGAAAAGCUUCCUAAAAGUUUAUAGAUGUUGCUUUGACUUUACAUGUGUUUGUAGUUGAUUGAUACAUUAGAAACUUGAUUAACAAUUUAAUCACAUGUUGAUAGCUUAUAAAAUAAACUAACUAUGUAACACAAAUAGAAAAAACUUACCUUGCAAGUUAAGAUAUGUGUCUUGCAAAAUCAACACAUUUUAGAGGUCCUACACGACAUUGCCUUGUAGCUUCUAGUUAAGAGUAUAUAUGGAAGCAAAAGUGAAGCCUUCUUCAUUCUUUUCAAUGCCUUUCUAGUCUUUGGUCUUAGUUUUAAGACUUUUUAGUACUCUUGUCUUUGAUGAUAGCCAUUUUAGUUGAAUAUAUUAUCAUCUUUAAAUAAUUUUUUAGUCUUUUUAAAUAACACAAAAUUAUCCUAAUCUUUUAAGUCUUCAAGAUUCAUGUCCUUCAUAAUUUUACAAGAAAGCAAACUUAUUAUUUUUGUCUUGUUGUAGAAGUGAGUGGAUUACUCCACUUCUAUUGUUGUGUUUUGAAGGUUGCUGAUUAUCCACCUUUAAACAAAUUGUUUAAUUUUUUAAUAUUGAUAUUUUUUUUAAAGAGAGCAGGUUAUUCUUUUUGUGGAAAUUUUCAUUUAAUAUUAAAGAUUGUGGAUUAUUUCCCUCUAAUUUGACUUAUGGAUUUAUUAAGUUGUUUGAAAUAGAAAAGAAACUCAGGGAUAUUAUAUUUGGUAGAAAUAAGCAUAGAUUUGUAACUAUUAUUAAUCUUCAUGAACUUGUAAACUCUUUUAGGAUAGAAAUUUUAGGCAUUACAGGUGCCAAUUAUAGAAAUACUAAUCCUAAGCCUAUGAAAGAUAAUCAAAAUCUAUAUUAAAAAAUUGUGUAGUUGAAAGAAGCUAGUGAAUUGAUCUCACAACUAAAUCUAAGAAGUUUUGUUUCUACAAGUACAAUAAGGGCAAGGAUUAGUAUGCUUAAGAAGUUUGAUAGAAUAAGAUCAAAAUUUGGAAGAUUUGUAUAACAAAUCAAGUUCUAUCUAAAAUUGCAUUCCUUCCAAUAUCUUAAUGGAUUUACUCAAGUUAAAUUCAUAAGUACAUUUUUAUCUAAAAGUGCUCUUUUUUGAUUUGCACAUUUAAUGGAAAAGGAUUUACAACUCCUAUAUAAUUUAAAUGUAUUCUUAAAAGUAUUUAUGGCCACAUUUGGAAAAAGAAAUCAAGAGCGAGUAGCAAAGAUCAAGCUUUUAUCUUUACAAUAAGGAUCAUGAUUAGCUACUAUAUAUAUUAUUGAAUUCUAAAACCUCACUUAAAAUGUGGUCUAGAAUGAUAAAGUCCAUAUCAAUCAAUUUUAAUAUAGAUUGAAGAUAAUGUCAAAGAUUUAUUAUUGACAACAUUGACAGUAGAAUCUUUAAAAUAAUUUAUUGUUUUAGCCAUUGCAUGUAAUAAUUGAUUAUACAAAAAACAUCGAGAAUAAAGACUUGGUGGAAGAAGAACAAAUUAAGUAAUGAUGGCAACUCUAAAGUUUUCAAAAAAUUAUUUAUGAAGGCUAGAAUCAAUGCAAAUUGAUAUGAUAAAACCAAUGAAGAAUUUAAAAUAUACCAUAUCAAUUUUAAGCAAGAAAAGACUUGAUAUUGUUAAAAAGGUUUGUACUUAUAUUAUAAAGAAGCUAAACACACCACUCAAUAUUAUAAGUGCAAAAGCUUUCAUUAGUAUAGCAAAAAAAAUUUCAUCUUUUGCUAUAUAUGUUACAUCCAUUUUUGAUGGUGAAAAGACAUCAAGUAAUAUUCUUAAUUAGUAUCAAGAUUUUUAGGAUGUUUUUUAAAAAAAGAAUGUAAAUAUUCUUCUAGAAUAUCAAUCCUAUGAUUGUUUAAUUGAUUUGUAAGAAAGAGCUCAACCACCAUUCAGAUUAAUCUAUAUUUUAUUGUAAAAUGAGUUAGCUACACUAAAAAAAUAUAUUGAAGAAGAAAGAUGGAUCUCUACACAUGUGCAUAGACUAUCGAGGACUUAAUAAGAUCACUAUCAAUAAUAAUUAUUCUUUAUUUUUGAUUUUAGGACUUCUUCACCAACUCAAUCCAAUAUAGAUCUAUAUAAAAGUAGAUCUACAAGGAGCAUACAACUUAAUUCGCAUCAAAGAAGGAGUUGAAUGGAAGACUAUUUUUUGAACAAGGUAUGAAAAUUUUAAAUAUAAUAUCAUAAUUUUUGGACUAAUAAAUGCAUUAAUAUUAGAAAUAAGAAUUUGAUGAAAUUAAAUAAAUAAGUAUAAAAAAAUAGAAAUAAAAAAGUAUGUAUAUUAAAAAAAAAUUGAAAUGACUAUUGCCAAAAGAUAAAGAUACUAGAGACUCUUGAAUCUAGACUAGAAGCAAGAAAAGAGUUGAAAGAGUGAAGAGAACUUCACUCUUGCCUCUAUAUAUAUUAUCUAACUAGGAGUUAUAUAGAGAUAUUUUAUAAGACCUUUAAAAUAGGUUGACUUUACAAGAUACAUGCUUUAGCUUAUAAGGCAAGUUUUCUAUGUAUACGCAAUAUAGUUAGCUUGUUCUUCAAGCUAUCAACAUGUGUGGCACAUGGCUAAUUUUUUGACCAUGUUUAUAACCUAAAAAGUCAAAUAUAAACACUUAUAAGAUCAAAGCAAUGUCUAUAUAGCUUCUAAAAAGUUUCUAUAAUAGAUAUUAUAGAAUUAGUUUAUUUUUAUUUAUUUUUAUCAAAUUAUAGAUAAUUAUUGAUUUAUAUGUAUAUAUAUGUAAUAUUACCUCUUUUUUUAGGAACAAGUUUUAUAAGGAAGGUUAUUAUAUGUUGAAGAAAUUGAAGAUGCGGAAAAUUGUAUUUGUCAUAUACUUUGAUCUUUUUUUUUCUUUGAAGAUGGCUGAUAAGGCCUCUCAACCAUUGAUAGUGUCCAAUAUCAGAGCAAAAAGACCACCCAAUUAUUUGAUCAUUGUUGAGGCUUUUAUAACUUCAUUCAAAUAAAAUAUUUGAAACACCGUCAGGAGUUGUUCUUACUUCUAGUAAAAUCAUCAAACAUCAAAAGUCCCUUCCUAGGUUGUGAUACCAAAUGUGCUGUAUCUUGCCAUCUAUUCAAGGAAAAAAAUAUUGUUCUUGAGGAUCUUCAUCUCAAUUUCAUCAUCUUGAAGGUUGUAAUAAUCACAAUGAUUCAUUCGGUAGGUCAAGAAAUAAAGGCUCUUGAGUCAAAUCUGCUAGUUGUUGAUUCUCCAUCUCCUUAGUAUUACAAAUAUAAAGAAAUUAUAAAAAAGAUAGAAAAUAGAAUGUUUUUUUGCCUAGAACUUAUUUUUUUUAUUGAAAAGUUCUUCAUCUUGGUUUUAAUAGAUGUCAUUGAUAAAAAAUGUCAACUUUCUUUGCUAUAUUUGUAAGAUUCUAUAUUGGCUUCUAUGUGUGUUUACUAUUAUCAUAUCCACAUCAAUGAAUAAAAUAUUCUAAUUUAUUUUGGUACCACUUUGAAUUUAAGACUUCUUCUACCUCAAACUCUUGAUUAUUAUCUAUUUCUAUAGGAAGUGGUGGCAUUUGUUUUUUCUCGAGAUAUUCAUUGUCUUAUAUGCCUCAAAAAAGAUACAUGAAAUAUUGGAUGAAUCUUCAUAGACUCCUAAAGAUAUAAUCAAUAAGCAAUAAGAUUGACUUAUUCACUAAUAGAAAAAGGUCCAAGCCUACAAUAGUCUUGAUAUUACAACAAAGUGAUUAUAUCUUCUCACUUACAUUGAAUUAUGGUUGUUCCUUGCAAUAGGCAUUUGCAUUGAUUUUUUGUUAUUCUUGAGCUCCUUUUAAUUGCGCCUUUAUUAUUGCAUAUAGCUCUAAGAAACGAUUUUUUAAAUCUUUUGCCAUAAGUUUAUUGAUUAUUAAAAAGUCAAAAGUAUCAAGUUAUAGAUGAUAACCAUAAUUAAUAAAGAAUGAUGUUUGUUGCAUAGAAGAAUACACCAUAUUAUUAUAAGCAAAUUUGCCAAUAGCAAAAGAGUUUCUCAAUAGUCUUGUUGAUAAUUAAUUGUACACCUUAAAUACUGCUCCAAAACUUGGUUUAUAUGCUUUGUUUGUCUAUUAGUUUGAAGAUGAAAGGCCAAAGAUAGCUUUACGUCUACCUUUAGAAUCUUGAAAAGCAUUUUUUAAAAUCUUGAUACAAAUUGAGUCUUUCUAUUUGAUAUAAUAUCCUUGGACAAUCCAUAGUAUCAAUAGAUAUUUUCAAAGAAAAGCUUUGCUAUUGCUUCACUUGUGAUAGAUUUUGUACAUAGUACAAAAUGUGCCAUCUUUGUAAAAUAAUCUAUUAUCACAAAUAUAGAAUCAUAUAAACUUGAGACUAAAAUAUCCGUGAUAAAAUCUAUAGAAAUAGAAGACCAUGGUUAUUUUAGAAUAGGUAAUAGCUGAAGAAGUCUGUAAGGUGAAUGAUAAGGAGUUUUUGAUCUUGAAAAAACAUCACAUGAUUGAACAAAAUCCUUGAUUUCCUUCCACAUUUGCAGCUAUCAAAAAUCUUUAGAUAUCAAUUCUAAAGUCUUGUUGUAUCCAAAAUGUCUAGCUGCUGGAAAAUUGUGUCAUAUUUGAAGAAUAUGUAAAUAUCCUUCUUCUUCUAAAACAUAUAGGCAUCUUUUGAAAUAGAGUAGAUUUUUUUUUAAUUCAAAUUUGGAAGCAUCAUGAGACUUAGAAGAAGGAUCCUUGAUAUCAUGAACAAAAAGAUUAGAAGAUAUAUUUGAUUAAAUUUAUUUGAUUAAGGUUUAAUCAACAAUCAAAAAUUUUGAUUUUAUUACUUGAAGAUGAAAAUGCUCAAGCUUAAAGAAAAUUGUUUUUUCUUAAUCAAAAGAUGCAUUUCCUUAUUUUGGUAUAAGAUAAGAAUGUUUAAAAAGAGUGUUUGAUAAACAUUAUUGUUUUCUAAAUCAACAUGUCAUCUUGAAAUCAAAUCUUGAUAAAGACAUACUCCAAUGAGCUUGGCGAUGAUUCAAAACUUGUCUUGACAUGAAGUAUUUGAGAUUCUUGUGAUUUAUAAACAUGGUGAUUAGACUAGAAGCACCUUCUAAAUAAUGAUGCCAUUCUUGAAAAGAUUCUAUAAUUAUAAAAAGCUCUUUCUUAUAGAUCUCAUAAUUAAUCUCAAUUGCUGAAAAUUUCUUGGAAUGAAAAGCUAUUGUAGAAGUUAAUCAUCUAAAUCCAUUUGUGAUAAUACAACACUUAAAGUAAAGUCUAAUGCCUCUAUUUGUAUAAAAAAUACCUUAGAGAAGUCAACACAAUAUAAGAUUAGUGCAAAAACAAAGGUUGUCUUUAAAGCUUCAAAUGUUACUUCCGCUUCUUGAUUCUACCAAAGUUUAUCUUUAUAAGUGAAACGUGUAAGUGGAGCUUUAAUUCAAAAAAAGUCUUUAAUGAAGCUUGAAUAGUAGUUGGCAAAUUCUAAAAAAUAUUAGAUAUCUCAUGCCUUUUUUGAAAUCUUCUAAUCUAUAAUAAUUUAAAAUUUCUUAGGAUCAAUGAUAAGUUCAUCAUUUAAAAUGAUAUAAUUUAAAAAGUCAACUUGAAUAUUGUAGAAUAUACACUUUUUUUUUAACUUGGCAUAGAGUCCCGUAUCUCUUAAUUUUUGUAAUACAUGACAAAUAUGAAGUUAAUAUUCUUUUGUAUUUUUAGAAUAGAUCAAGAUAUUGUGUAGAUAAUAUAUAAUAAAAUCGUCCAAAAAUUCUAAAAAAAUAUCAUUCAUAUAAUGUUGAAAAGCUGCUAGUAUGUUUGUAAGUCUAAAAGGCAUGACAUUAUAUUCAAAAUUUCCAUACCUGAUUUAAAAUGUAGUCUUCUAUUUAUCUCUUUCUUUAAUGUGUACUAGAUUAUAUGCUCUUUAUAGAUCUAUUUUUGUAUAGAUCUUAGCUUGAUUCAAUUGAUACAAAAGUUUAGAUAUUAAAGGUAUUGAAUACUUGUUCUUCAUAGUGAUCUUGUUGAGUCCUCAAUAAUCAAUACACAUGUACAAUGAUUCAUCUUUUUUCUUCACAAAUAGAAUUAAGGCUCUUGCUGAAAAUUUGGAAUGGCAUAUAAAAUUCUUAUCUAGAUUUCUUCAAUAUAUUCCUUGAAUUCAAUGAACUCAUUUUGUGAUAAAUUGUAGAUUAGUCCAUAUGGCAAUUGUGCUUCUUUUUGAAGGUCAAUUGAGAAGUCAUAGGGACAAUGUUUUAGAAGAGUAUCUACAUUUUUUUUUUUUUCAAAUACAUCUUGAAAUUUUUGAUAUUAGCUUGAAAUGCCACUUAAAGUCUUUGCACCAUUAAAAAUAAGUGUGGCUUAAAUGACACAAGGUGAUCAUUCUUUUGCAACAUACAAGAAAGCUCUUGCACUUACAAAUAUAGGUUUAAUUAUACUAGACUUUUGAUUUUUUAUAUUAUUAAUUAUACUCUUAGUUAUACUUUAAAAAAAAUUAAGAGUACGAUAAAUUUAAUCUACUUAAGGAUUAUAUUUUUCUAACCACAAUAAGCUUAAAAUAAUUAGAUUAGAGGGAAAUUUAAUGAUAUUUAAUAUUACAAAGCUAUUAUGACUAUUGGUUAUUACUUCUAUAGAAAGGAUUUUAUGAGUAACAUGUCCAAAAGACAAUGAACGAUCAUCUAUGACUUCUACAUGAAUAGGUUUAAUUUUCUUCAUUAAAGAUAUGCUAAGUCUUUUAUCCAAUUCUUCAUCUAAGAAAUAAGCUAAGUUUCUUGAAUCUAAUAAGGUAGAGGUUUUGUGAUGUUUUGUUCCUAAAAUAACAUUCAAUGUCAAACAAAGAGAAGGUUCUGAGAAGAAAAUAGAUUCUUUAUUAGGUAUUAUACAAGGUUCUAAUUACAGGGUGUCAUGAUGUAACAUACCCAUUGGCUUUAUAUUAUAAGUGGGUGGUGGAUUUAGUGGCAAUUUCUAUGGGACUUGGACAAAUGAAGUAUUUGGUACUUGCACGAAAAGAUUUAUCAAAUAUAGUUGAAGGACGAGCAUUAAGAAUAAAGGAUAUUAAAGGUGUAUGUCAAUUUCUAUUAGAAGAAGUUAUUUGUCGCUAUAGUUGUAUUGAAAAAAUUACGGCAGAUAGGGGUGAAUUGGCUGCAAAAGAAGCACGAGAAUUCUUUAGUAGGAUAGAAAUUAAACUUUCUUUAACAACAACAUAUAACCCAGAAGGUAAUGGUAAAAGUGAGCGUGGGCAUUCACCUAUUGUUAAGGCAUUAGUAAAUGCAUGCAAUGGCAAAGCACAUGAAUGGCCUAGACUACUACCAUUUGCACUAUGGGCAGAUCGUACAACUCAUAGUUCGGUAACAGGUUAUAUGCCUUUUGAAUUAAUAUAUGGUGAAAAACCAGUAAUGCCAAUAGAAGAUAUAGUACCUAUAUGGGGUGUAUUGCCUUGGAAGAAUGAUCUCAACACAGAAGAAUUUUUAGCAUUAUGGAUUCAACAACUAAAAAGAAGAUCCAAUGAUAUUGAAAUAGCAAUAAAAAAAUUGAAAGAAGCAAGGGAAAAGAAUAAGGAAAGAUUUGAUAAAAAACAUCGACUACGACCUUAGGCUAUUGAAGAUGGUGAUCGGAUAUUAGUUUAUGAUAGUAGCUUAGACAAUCAACAUAGCACUAUGAAGAAAUUUGCAAGGAGAUGGUUUGGACCUUAUAUUGUCAAAAAAGGCACACAACAAUGGAACAUAUUCAUUACAAGAACUUGAUGGUACAGAAUUGAAGGUACUCAUAGCAGGCAAACGAAUCAAGUUAUUUAAACAAAGAGACAAAGACAUUUGUUUUGAUGAAGAAAAAACUCCAGUAUAAGAUAUUGAGGUUGGAAUGGAAGAGCAUAUUGAAGAUCAAGAAUUGUACCAAGAUGAAGAACAUUCUACAUCAACAUAUUGAAAAAUCAUUAGUGCAUGCCGGAAGAUACACAGAUUCAAGGGAGGGUGGAUGUCGUGAUGUAACACGACUAAUAGGUGAAAAAGUGUAGAGAUUAUUGUAAUUUAAGAGAUCUUAGUUCAAAGUAUUAGAAAAAAUUAUCUUAGAAAUAUAGUUAAUAGUCAAAGGGGUAGAAAAAUUAAAAGGUACCAAUGCUGCCUUAUAGAGAGGUAACUUCUAUUUACUUUGUAGCACCAUAAGUAAGGGAAAAUAAGGUAGAUUGGAAAAAUAAAUGAUAUAAACAUCUUUAGGGGGAAGUUAAGAGUAAACUCUAGAAAAAAGUUACUUAGAAAAACUAGAUAUUGAUACCAGGAGAGGGCUAGUUAUGAACUAGGAUCGAAAUCAGACCCUGGGGCACAAAACCGAGUCUCGAUGAUGACUCCAGGAUUCUUUUGGAGAUCGGAGAGUGAGGUUUGAUAGCAAAUUGAAUAGGCUUUCUAUGAGCAUUAAAUUUGGGUCAGUUGGAGUUGAUAUGACUUUGUAAGAGCUUUGCAAAGUCAAGAUUUGUUUCGGAAGACUUGGGUUUUAUGAAAUAAAAUAGGGUUUACAUUUUGGGUGAUUUCAAGAGUUUUGUAAUAGAUCUACAAGUGAAACUUUGUGGAUUUAUGGUUAUAGUUGUGUUUAAUAUGUGUCAUAAAUUUGAGCUUGAUCUAACGGUUGAAUUGAGGAAUAUUGAGGUUUAAGUGGGUCAAGAUCUCUGAAAGUAGAAUUUUAGGUUCAGUGGGGGUUUUUGAGAUUUCUUGCAAUCUAUUAGUUGGAUUGGAGUGAAACUUAUGUAAGAGGAUAUUAGACUUGUUUUUUUUAUGUGUAUGAGAAUUUUUAAAUCAAUCGAACGGUGCAAAGAAGAGAUAUUGGCUUUGGAAGAUUGGCAUCAAGAUUGGAGAAGGAGGCCGGCCAAUACCCAAGUACAUUUUUGAGGUUAUCAACAAUUUGGUAACUCCGAUCCAUAUUAAUUUUUUUAUACUUGUUUUUAACUUAAUUUUUUAGAAUUGUGCAAAAUUUAAGUUAAGAUCAAUGGUUUAUUCAUUAGUUAUUGAGGUUUAAAUCUGUUGUAGGAAUUAUUAGGGUUUGGUUUAGGGUUUGGUUAGGAUUUGGAUUAUGAUUUGAUUUAGAGUUAAGGGUUUGGUUUACGGUUUAAGGUUUGGAUUAGGAUCUGAUUUAGGAUUUGAUUUAGGAUUUAAGAUUUGGAUUAGGAUCUGGUUUAGGAUUUGGUUAGGGUUUGUUUUAGGGUUUAGGAUUUGAUUAGGAUUUGAUUUAGGGUUUAAGAUUUGGUUAGGGUUUGGAUUAGGAUUUGGUUUAGGAUUUGGUUAGGAUUUGAUUUAGGGUUUAAGGUUUGGUUAGGAUUUGAUUUAAGAUUUAGGAUUUGGAUUAGGAUUUGGUUUAGGAUUUGGUUGAGAUUUGGUUUAAGGUUUGUUUAGGGUUUGAUUUAGGGUUUAUGAUUUUAUUAGGAUUUAAGAUUCAAUUAGUUUUGGCCUAAAUUUUGAAUGAAGUUCAAUAGGAUUUUAACUAGAAUUAAAUUAAGAUUGAAUUGAGAUGUAUUUGAGUGAUAUUUGUAUUCUUUUUAAUGUUUCUUUAAGAAUUCUUAUUUUUUGUUUGAAAUUUCUUUGAGGUUUUUUUGAAUUUGAGUAAGCUUGCUUAGCAUUAUUAUGGUAUAAUUCGAGCAUUGUUAGUAUUCUAUUAGAAUUAGGAUUUUGUUAUUACAAUUUUCAUUCUUCCUUCCACAGCCAGGUGCCUUGAGCAUUUUCAAGAAAGACUUCACGUAUUACGACAACGGUUCCUAAUAUAUUUGAAUAAACUCAUUUUUUAAUAUAUUGUCUUCUUUGACAUUUGUACUCUUUAUUUUAUAAUUAUAUCACUUCUUUGGAAAAUGUUGAAUAAUAUGCUUAGGUUCUUCAUAAUAUAAGGACAAUCCUUUUUGAUGGAGAUGAGUCUUUUCUUGCUUAAUAAGAGAUUUGAAUCGUACCAUAUCAAAUUAUAUAUCUUCUAUUUUUGAAUAUAUGUAUUGAAGGGGCAUUGAUAUUCCCAUUGAAUUAUAGUAAUUUUGAAGCUUAUUUAUUCAAUUCUUAGAUUAAAAUUCAAAAAGUCAAUUGUCACAUUUCAUAGCAAAGUUAAUUGCUUGAUUCAAUGUUUGAAGAUUAAAUAAGUUGAGCAUCAAUUUCUUUACCUCAUAUUGUAAUCCAUAGAAAAAUUGGCUAAUAAAUGCAACAUCAUUUUACUUGAUAUUAGUUACAAGUUUUCAAAAUUGUCAAGCAUAUAAUGUUACAGAUGAAUUGCUUUAUCACAAAAUAUGGAUCUUAUUGAUUACAAUACAAGUAGCAUCAUGUUUUCUAUACAUAGAUUGAAAUUUUGCCAAAAAAGCCUCUAAAUUAUCUAAUAUUGGACCUUGAUAUUCAAAAAAAGAUUAAAACUAGGAUAAUAUUGAACUUGAAAGAAGUGUAUCAAUGAAUUUAACUUGUGAUAUUGGAGUUGGAUAGCUUUGGAAUUGAAGUUCAAUUACAAGUUGUACUUGAUUAAUAAAUCCUUAAAACUUUGAUUUUGUGCCAUCAAACUUCUCAAACAGGGUAACUUUUGGUUCUCUAGUAUUAAAAGGAUGUUUUAUUAUAAGAGAAGGAACAUGAUUUGGUACAAAUAUUGAAGUAGCUCCAAUCAUAUCUAUAUCUUCACUUCUUGCCAUUCUUAUUGCUUCUUAUGGUGGUAAACUUAGUUGAUGCAUUGUAAGCAUUAAAUCCUUCAAAUAUUCUUACAUUUAUGCCAUUACAAUCUUCAUUUCAACAAACUUUGCCAUUAUAAUACUUAGAAAAAAAAAUCUAAUUACGCUCAAGUCCUGUAGAAGAGAAGAUUGGACAUCAAAGAAGAUACUAAGAAUAAUAAUAAUUUAAAAGAGGAUAAUCUAUAACUUCUAUUAGGCUUAUAUUUUAUGAAGAUAAAGAAGUAAUCCACUCUUAAUCAAAAAAAGACAAAGCUUUGAUAUAAUAAAUAUAUUCUUGUCAAUUUAUUAGGGACAAGAAUUUAAUAAAAAUAAAUAAUUAGUAUAAUAAAAUAGAAAUAAAGCAAUAUAUAUAUUAAAAUGAAACUGGAAUAGCUAUUAUCAAAAGACAAAGAAACUAGAGACUCUUGAAUCUAGAUUAGAAGCAAGAAAUGAGUUGACAAGAAUAAAAAAACUUCACUCUUACCUCUAUAUAUACUUUCUAAAUAGGAGCUAUGUGGCAAUGUUCUAUAAGACUUCUAACAUAUGUUGACUUUGCAGAAUACAUACUUUAGCUUACAAAGUAAGUUUUCUAUGUAACUGCUAUAUAGUUAGCUUGUUUUUCAAGCUAACAACAUGUGUGGUACAUGGCUAAUUUGUUGUCGACAUUUAUAAUCUAAAAAGUCAAUUAUAAAUACCUAUAAAGUCAAAGCAGUGUCUAUAGAGCUUCUAGAAAGCUCAUAUAGAAGAUAUUAUGGAAUUAAUUUAUUUUUACCUACUUUUAUUUAAUUAUAUAAGUAAUUAUUGGUUUACAUUUAUAUUUAUGUGACAAUUAGCUAAAUUUCAAUAUUUCAUGAAUGAUGUUUUUUAUAAAUUUUUUGAUGAUUUUAAUAUUUAUUAUUUAGAUGAUAUUUUUAUUUAUUCUAAAAAUACAAAAGAACAUGAAUUUUAUAUUUGUCAUGUGUUACAAAAACUUAGAGAUAUAAGAUUGUAUGCCAAGAUGAAAAAGUAUGUAUUUUACACUGCUCAAGUUGAUUUCUUAUGAUACAUCAUUUCUAAUAAAGGACUUAUGAUGGAUCUAAAAAUAGUUUAGACUAUUAUGGAUUAAAAGGCUCAAAAAAUAAUCAAAGAUGUAUAAUAUUUUUUAAGAUUUGUCAAUUAUUAUAGGAGCUUCAUUAAGAACGUUUUUCAAAUUGUGACUUCUUUUAUAUACCUAACAUAUAAAGAUAAAAUUAAAUGGAGCAAAGAAGUUGAAAUAUCUAUUGAAGCUUUAAAGACAAUAUUUAUUUUUAUACUAAUUUUGUAUUGUGUCAAUUUUUUUAAGUUAUUUUUUAUAGAAAUAUAUGUAUAGGACUUUGCUAUAGAUGUUGUUUUGUCAUAAAUUGGAACAAAUGACAAGUUCUAUUUAAUAGAUUUUCAUUCUAAGAAAUUUUUAAAAAUCAAAAAUUAACUAUGAUAUCCACAAUAAAGAACUUCUUGAAAUUGUGGAUUUAUUUCAAGAAUGGUAUCAUUAUUUAGAAGGCAAUUCUAGUCCAAUCACUAUAUAUGUGGUGUUGUAUUGUAGUUCGGCUACCAUGUGAAAAUAAUGUGAUUAUGUAUUUAAUGUAAAAUUUACUUAACAACAUGGUGAGAGCCAUAUUACUAGAUUUUAGUUGGUUGUAGAAUGUGGUUAAAUUACUACUUUAAAAAGAGGUUAUUUAAAAGGAUUAUUAUUAGAAUUUGUAUAACUUUAUUUUUUUUUAUAGUAGCUUUUGAGAUUGAUUUUGUUGGUAGUAAUUUUAAAUAGUUAGAGUCACCUUUACUAGACAUCGAUGACCCUUGAAGUUUUAUUUUGGUUCUUUAAUUUGGUGUUUAGGGCAUAUAUUGAAUAAAUCUUACAAAGAAAUGAGCUGGAGAGGGAUUUUGAAAGUAAAAAGAGAGUUUAGGACAUCCAUAUAGAUGAAUGGAGAUGGAUUAUGAAAACCUCCAUUCCUAUUGGUCAAAAAUCAUGACCAAUAGGCUUUGAGGAGGCUGCCCAAGGCCAUAUUAGAGAUUAGGGUUAGUUUUUCGGAGGCCAUUCGAAUUUUGAAGGUUAAGGUCAGCAAGUUUAGGUUUUUGGCUAUGAUUUUAGUACAAAUCUUGUAUGAUUUGGAGUUUAUAUGAAGGAGAUAUAGGUGCUCAAAGUUAAGGUGUUGAUUUGGAAGCUACCGUCACUCUUUUCAACAAAUCGCACGUGUAUAGAGGGCAAUUGAGGAUCGGUGAGUGCGACUAGAGAGAGCACUUUUGCAGCUACACUUUUUGCAAUUUCUUGCUGGAUUCCAAGUUAAAAUGAAGGAGUUAUUGGAUUUUGAAGUCAGCUCAUGCAAUCUAAGGGUUGUAAGUGAUCCGAUUUACUAGUGGUUGUGUUUUGAGCUAUAUCUUGAGUAAUUUGACAAGAUUUUGGCUCAAAAUUUCAUGGAAUGUGUAAAUUCAUGUUAGUAAACUUUAUACAUAAUUUUAAUGACAUUUGAAUAUUGGGUUCUUGAGAUAUUAAGAAAAUAGUGCUCGGAUGCUUGUAAAUUAGGGUUUAAAGUAUCUGCUAGGGUUUCUUAGAUGCCAAAAGUUUGGGAGUGAAUUUGCGGUUGGUUAUUUUUGUGGUAAAACUUAAAGGCGAAUUCUAUGUACUCUAUAAAUUUGAGACAAAUUGAAUGGUUAGAUCAAGAGUUAUGAAUUUCUAAAGUUUAGGAAGAGAAAAUCCUUCGCAGAAAAAAUAUGUUUUGAAGGAAUUUUGUUAUAUUUUAAGUUUUAUGCAAAUUAAAAGAGUUUUUGGAAGCUAAUACAAGAUUCAUAUAAAGGUAUAAGCUGAACUCUCUAUAGCUAGAUAUCCAAUGUAUUUUUAGAUAGCAAAUCAUGCUAUACGACAGCGGAUCACAAGAAUCUCAAGUAUUUCAUAUUGGCACAGGUUUUGAAUCGUCGCUGAGCUCAUUGGAGCAUGUCUUUAUCAAGAUUUGAUUUAAAUAUCACAUAUUAAUUCAAAAAACAACAUCAUUUAUCAAACAUCAUUUCUAAAUAUUCUUAUCUUACACUAAAAAAAAAAAAAUGCAGCUUUUGAUCAAUAAAGAAUAAUUUUCUUGAAGCAAAAGCAUUUUCAUCUUCAAGCAAUAAAAUCAACAUUGACUAUUGAUUCAAUCUCUCUCAAGCAAAUUCAAUCAAAUAUGUCUUCUAAUCUUCUUAUUUAUGUGUCAUGGAUAUACACAUGUAAGCCAAUAAUUACCUAUAUAAAUAAAUAGAAGUAGAUAGAAGUAGGUGAAAGUAAGUUAAUUCUAUAGUAUCUUUUAAGAAUGCUUCCUAGAAGCUUCAUAGAUGGUGCUUUGACUUUACAGGUAUCUAUUGUUGACUUUUAAGUUAGAAACUUGGUCAACAACUUAACCAUGUACUACACAUGUUGAUAGCUUGAAGAACAAGCUAAUUACUUGGCAAAUACAUAGAAAAACUUGCCUUGUAAAUCAAGGCAUGUGUCCUACAAAGUCAACACAUAUUGGAAGUCCUAUAGAACAUUGCCAUGUAGUCCUUAGUUAAAUAGUAUAUAUAGAGACAAAGAGUGAAGCUCUCUUCACUCUUGUCAAUUCUUUUUUUGCUUCUAGUCUAGUUUCAAGAGUCUCAAGUUUUCUUGCUUUUUGAUAAUAAGCCAUUCUAAUUUUUUUUUAAUAUACGUACUUCCUUAUUUUUAUUUUGUCACUUUUUCUUUGAUACAGAUUUCAUUGGUUUAUGCAUCAUCUUCUAGUUCAUGUCCUUGAUAUUAUACUAUCAAGAAUAAUUCUUCUAAAUCUCAUGAUAUUUCUAAAUUUGAGUUUAAAAAAUAAUCUACUCAACUUUAAGGAAUAAUUAUACAUUCUAAAAGACAAAGCAUGAUUAUAUGUUCUUCAAGCUUAUCUUAACUUCCAACAACCAAAUAUUUUGAAUACAAUAAGAUUCUAAAGAUAAUAUUUAGAGAUUUUUGGUAGCAUCAAAUGUAGAAGGUAGUCAAAGACUUUGUACAAUCAUGUGAUAUUUGUUCAAGAUCCUAAUUCCUCAUCAUUAACUUUAUGGACUUCUUCAGCUAUUACGUAUUUUGAAACAAUUAUAGUCUUCUGUUUUUAUAGAUUUUAUUACUAACCUUUUUGUCUCAGGUUUGUAUGAUUUUAUAUUUGUGGUAAUAGAUUAUUUUAUCAAGAUGAUAUAUUUUAUACCAUAUAUAAAAUCUAUUACAAGUAAAAAAAUAGCUAAGUUUUUUCUUGAUUAUAUCUAUCACUCUCAUAGAUUGUUUAAGGAUAUAAUAUCAAAUAAAAGGACUCAAUUUAUAUCUUAGCUUUAAAAAAUACUUUUUAAGAUUUUAAAGAUGGAUAUAAAGCUUUUUUUGACUUUUCAAAUUCAAAUUGAUAGACAAACAAAAUGGAUGAAUCAAGUUAUGGAGCAAUAUUUGAGGUGUACCAUCAAUUAUCAUCAAGAUGAUUAGACAAUUCUUUUGUCAUUGGUAAAGUUUGCACAUAAAAAUUUAGUAUUCUCUUCUAUUCAAUAUAUAUAUAUAUAUAUAUAUAUAUAUAUAUAUAUUUUAAUCUAUUAUGGUUAUUAUUCAUGAUUUAAUACUUUUGAAUAUUUUAUAAUUGAUAAUCUUAUAAUAGAAGAUUUAGAAAAUCAUUUCUUAAAGCUACAUGCAAUAAUGAAAGCAUACUUAAAAGAAGCUCAAGAAUGACAAAAAAAUCAAUGUGAAUGCCUAUUACAAAGAAAAUCCAGCAUUCAAUAUAUAUAAGAAGAUAUUAUUAUUUUUUUAUAAUACCAAGUCUAUUUGUCUUUGUGAUAAGUUAGACUAUUGUAGGCUUAAACCUUUUCCUAUUUGUGAACAAGUCAAUCUUGUUAUUUAUUGAUUAUAUUUAUUGAAAUCUUUGAAGAUCCAUCUUGUAUUCUAUGUGUCUUUUUUAGGACCAUAUAAGACAAUGAAUAUCUGGAAAAAAAAGACAAAUGCCACUUCUUCCUAUAGAAGUGGAUAAUAAUUAAUAAUUCAAAGUCGAAGAAGUUUUAGAUUUAAGAAGAUGCCAAAUUAAUUAAAAUAUCUUAUUCAUUGAUAUAAAUAUGAUAUUAAUGAAUAUACAUAGAAAUUAACAAAGAAUCUUGCAAAUUCAAUAAAGAAGGUUGAUGCUUUUUAUCAAUAAUAUCUAUCAAAAUUAAAAUGAAGAAUAGCAAAUCUUUGCUAUAAAAGAAAUAAGAUAAAAAAAAAUAGCUUUCUACCUUCUACUUAUAUUUAUAACUUUUGUAUAUUUAUGACGCUAAGAAGAUAGAAAAUCAACAACCAAUAGAUUCAAUUCAAGAGCUUUCACUUACUAACUCACUAGACAAGACAUUAUGAUUGUCACAACCUUCAAGACAAUAGAAUCAAAUGAAAAUUGUCAAGAAUGACAUAUCCUUUUUUGAAUAAAUAGCAAGAUAUAAUAUAUUUGAUAUCAUGACCUUAGAAGAGACUUUCAAUGUUUGGUGAUUUUAUUAGAAGUAAGAAUGAUUCUUGAUGCUAUUCUAAAUAUUUUAUUUGAAAGAAGUUAUGAAGGAUUCAACAAUGUUCAAAUAAUAGGAUGGUCUUUUUGCCUUGAAAUAAGACACUAUCGGUGGCUGAAAAGACCUAUCAACCAUCUUCAAAGAAAAUAAAGAUUAGAAUAUGUGACUGUUAUUCUCGUUGUGUUCAAGCUUUAGUAUACCAAAGCAAUUGAACUAAUAGAGGUAGGUUCGAACACGGGAAAAGACUGGUUAUAUGAAUUGGGUCUGUUAGUGUCACAAUUGACUGUACUCUAACUAUCUGAAAUCAAUUAUCAAACUACAAAACACCAAGGCUUACUACUUCCAUCUUAAUUCAACUUAUAAUCCAUUCUACAACUAUCAGUUCAACAAUACUUUCAUAUUCUUAUCUGUUCAUCUUCCACUUACUCUCUUUGUGGUUUAGAUAUAUUCAAUUAUUGAUCUCCAACUUACCUAUUGUAUUCAAUUUUUUAAUUCAUCAUACAGAAUUCAAUAUCUAGGCUUACGACUCUCACAGUUUGGCUCUCACCUCUCUUUCUUCAACCUCUUUAUCCUACCAAAAAGGUGAUCCUUUAGCCAAUAGAUUCCAAAGGUUAUGACCCUUUGAAUUCUUAACCAUUUAUUCCACUAAUAACUCACUGUUAUCAACUAAACUGCCUAGUCAUCACUCUAAUUCUCAAGGUUAUCAAUAACCAACCAGUAACUUACCACAAAGUUUAUUUACAUAUUCUACAUAGCUCCACUCCUAAUUGUGCAGUGCCUUUACAAACACACAAUUGUUAUCUAUCUAAAAACUACUUAACAAAACUUACAAAGGUACUAUUUCCUCUAGGCCACCCAAUUGAUCAUUUGCUGCAUUAUCAAAUGAGCAUUCCACUAAAUCUGGUUCCAAUUGCAAAUAUUCUUCCUCCUCCUCCAGUCCGUCUAUUGACUCCUUCUUCAACUGGUUUGAGAGAUCUUCAUUACUCUCUCAAUUCACGGACUUGAACUUUCAGUUUCAAGAUCUAGACAUUCCAAAGUUCCAAUUAUUGUUGUUACUGACUCAUCUAUUCUGGAACAUCUUCAAUCGGCACUUGUGAUCGGCUCCUCACUAUUAACUCUUAGCUGGAACUACUACUCUCGAAAAUACAAGAAAUAUAAAAAAAUAGCACUCCAACCAACCCAAAACACCACAGAAUGACUUUAAUUGGUGCCCCAUUCCUAUUCUUUUACUAUCUGAUGAUAAUGACAAUAUGUUACCCAUACUAUCCAUGAAAGGUAAUGAGAAGUAAUUUUUCUUGGUGGCCGCAUUAAAUUUCCAAAAAUCCUGACAAAUUUGGAUUUUUCCGUUCUUUUUCGACACCAUCACGAUUGGAGAAAUCCACUCACUAUUUGGUACCGAGUAAAUAAAACCAACUCCAAGAAACUUGUCCAAUUCUUCCUUCACCAUGAAAAAAUAUUUAGAAUUAAUGCGAUGUUGCCUCUACCGUACCAGUUUAGUGUUCUCCCAUAAAAUGAUACGAUGAUCACAGACUUCAGUGGGGAUAUCUUUUAGAUCAACAUAAGUCCAAGCAAAAGCUUAUUUAUGAUGCAAGAAAAAUUCUGUCCAGCAGGUUAAUUCAUGUUCCUUAAUACCUUCAUAUACCUUAAUUGUCUGAGACUCUAUUGUGGUUGCCAAGUUGAUAGUUUGACAUAAAGGUGCAGCGACGAUGUUCAAUUUCAAUCCCCGUGCUGGUUUAAAAUCAGUCAGUAAGUCCAACAUGUGUGAAGUACUGAAUCUUGUGUCCAAGGCACUCACAUGGUACACAUCAUACUUGGUCAUCUAAUCAAUACUAAUUUUAGCAAAGAUUUUUGAAUCCAUUGAGUAUAUCAAGUACUCCCUCGGACUGCCACAUUGGUACACCACUCCAAGGUGUUGGUCUGCUUCCACAGACGCCUCUGUAAUCGGUGCUACUGCAUCAUCAUUGAUGCUAAGCUCAUCGUUUGAUGUCAAUUCAAAUGUUGGCAAUUGAGAUUCCCGUGAUAGUGUAUUGGGUACAUUUGUAAUACCCUUUUAUCUCCGCCCUUGCCAAUUGUGAAAGUACCCCCACCCCAAUUGUUCUUGGCCUUCGCUUGAUAAAGCCAAGGUCGUCUCAAUAAAAUUAGAUAUGAUAAAGUUGAACAUUAUAACCAAAAGAUGAUGUAGUCAAUUUCAGAUGCAAUACUUGCAAUUAUAGUUUGAACACUCCGUAAAAUAUCCAUUGGUGUAACUCGGCUAUUAUCUGCCAUUCGUAACACCAAUAUUGUGGGUACUAAGUGUUCCAAAUCUAAAGCAUCUAUUGUAUCAGCGUUCAUUAAAUUGACGCUGGAACCACCAUCUAUUUGAAUACCCGAGAUCAUAAUAUCGUCAAUGAAAACAUCGAUAGUUGGUGCACUUGGGUCACGGUUCAAACUGACUUCACAAACUUCCUUAUUGCGUUGCCUAUGUUGUGUUAACAAUGAAUUCAAUGUAGAACAGUACUUGGUGCAACCGCUAGAAGUUGCUUCAUAGAAAUAGAAGAUCGAAUAGCAUCCAGAUCCUUCAAAAUAUCAUAGGGUUCUAUAUGUAAGGUAAUACCCAAUGCCCUCUUCCUUUUCAUUGGUUUGAAUUUAACUCCGUGACGUAAGAAAUUCUUUCGCCCUGGACUUAGAAUUAGAACAGUAGACGGAGCUUCCUUAGAAUUUGCACCCUUGAGAGGAUCUUUCAAUAGAAACGAUGUUUCCUGAAACUGUGUAGAGAACGAAACAGCUCGACAGAGAACUGAAGCCUCCGUAAUUGGUACCUCAUUAGGAUGCACAACUGAUUCAGGUCUUAUAUUGAGUAAGGAGCCCAUGUUAGGACCUGGAUUGGAUGUCCCCAUAAUUGGGUCUAAUUGGCCCUUCCCUUCAAGAUCAUCCAAAUGUUGAAUUGCUCCUUUCUUCUUUUGCUGACUUCUUGUAUGGACAACUUGGACUAAUUCUACUAGAUGAACUGAUGAUUCUUGUGUCCUAUUAUUUUUUUCUUCUAUAAUUUACACAGUCGAUUGUAUCUUUUGAUCAUGAUUAUUAGGGUUAAAUGGAACAUUACAUUGAUAAUGAAAAUGACCCGAUUGCUUAUAAUUUCUAAAUACUGGAGCAUAUUUGUCUAUAAACCUUGGAUUAGAGCAUUCAUUGGCAUAAUGAUCAAUUUUUUGGCACCGAUAGCAACGUAGUGGUUUUCGACCCUUACCGUCAAGUACACUUAGAGUCUCUAGUAGAAUAUAUCUACUAAGCCGAUUCCAGGUAGUCAUAGUAAAUGAUCCUGGUUGACCAGUUGCUACUGGUCAAGAAUUGGAAUGCUGAAUUGGUAUAGUUUGGAGAUUAUCCCCUUGACUAUUUCCACCGUUCUGCAUCUUUGUUCCAUAAAUCAGAUUAUAAUUAGUAUUUUGAAAAUUUCCAAAGCCAUGAUUAGGUCGAUUUGAGUCAUUAGUAUUCCAACCACCCAUACUUCUAGUCUGUACUUGAUUAACAUCCCAUUGAGUUGGCUAUAUUGUCUGGUUAUUGAAUUGUUGUUGCCUUUGUAAAUGCCAAUAGUUUUGGAUAGGGUGCUUUCUUCUACAAAAUGUACAUUGAACUCCCGUUUGUCUGGGUGAUGGAAAUUCCGUAUCAAAAUGACCUUGUCCCUUACAAUUAUUAUACCAUAUAUUAGGUCUUGUAUUAGAAGGCUUAUGUCGUUUUUUCUUAUCUUUAGCCAAAUUCACGACUAAUUCUUCCAUCUUCUUUGUUAGAUUUAAUAACAAGGCUUUAUUUGGAUUUUUAACAGUCGCAUUUGUAAACAACUCUGAUUGUUGAUAGGUUGGCGAUGUAAAAUAAGGUGUCAUCUUUAUUGGCGCUAUUGCUUGGAAUAAUGUAGCAUUAAUUGGUUGUUGCAACAUAACAUUAUUCACAUUGGAAGCAGUCGUUUGUGGAUAAUUAUCCAUCGACACAUUUUUCGGUUGUAUUUGUUGGCUUCCUGAAUUUGGAAUCAUCGUGGCCCCCACUGUUAAUAAUUGGUCAUAAUAACAUUCUUUCUACACCUUUGCUUGUGCCAACGAUGCCUCUACUGUAGGUAGUCAAGACUCUUUUACAAACAUUUUCAAUUCUGGUGGAUGCAAACCAUUAAUAAUAUCGAUAAUAAAAAUGCAUCAGGCAUUUGAUUAUUUGACCAUUUACAAAGUAUAUCCGUGAUUUAGCCAUAAUAAGAUUCUAUGGAUUCCCCUGCAAACAUCCUAUUAUUCAUAAAACUUUCUCUAAGCCGAUCUUCAAAUCCAAUUGGUCUAAAAUGGAUUAGGAAGGCAUUCCUCAAGGCCUCCCAAUUGAAAAAUCUAUCCACUGGUUGCCAAAUAUACCAUUCAAAAGCUGUAUCUUUUAAAGUUACUGGCAACCAUCUCAACCAAAUGUCUUCAGUUUUACUAUUAUUAGCCACACAAGCUGUCAAGAAUUGAGAUAUAUGGUGAUCGAGAUCACAGCCCGGCCAACCACUAAAAGUAGGUAAUGGUGCCACAAUUGUAGUUCGGUCUCAUAUUGGUCCUUUUUGUACUACAAUUGGUACUUCUGACACUCCCACAGCCAUUGGUGUUAUCACUGGUCUCUUUGCUAUUUGAAUUUGAAUUUUUCUUCCUUUGGUUUUUCUUGGACCUACAAUUCUUUUUUGUCGUUCCCGUAGGAUAUUUCGUAUGCAUAAUCGCUCUUGUCUUUCUUUCACUUGUCGAUUAAUUCUUUGAUAAUCCUCUCCUUCAUGAUUAUCACUCAUAAUCUUUUAUUCUUCCCAUACAAUCAAUUUCUAACAUUUCAUAUUGUUAUCAUUUUCCUGGCAGCGGCGCCAAAAUGUUGUUCUCGUUGUGUUCAUGCUUCAGUAUUUCAAAGCAAUUGAACUAAUAGAGGUAGGUUCAAACACGAGGAAAGACUGGUUAUAUGAAUUGGAUCUGUUAGUAUCACAAUUGAUUGUACUUUGGCUAUCUAAAUCAAUUAUCAAACUACAAAACACCAAGGCUUAUUACUUCCAUCUUAAUUCAACCCAUAAUCCAUUCUAUGACUAUCAAUUCAACAAUACUUCUAUAUUCUUAUCUGUUCAUCUUCCACUUACUUUCUUUGUGGUUUAGAUAUAUUCAAUUACUGAUCUUCAGCUUACCUAUUAUAUUCAAUUUUUCAAUUCAUCACACAAAAUUCAAUAUCUUGGCUUAUGACUCUUACAAUCUGGCUCUCAUUUUUCUUUUUUCAACCUCUUUAUCCUACCAAAAAGAUGAUCCAUCGGCCAACGGAUUCCAAAGGUUAUGACCCUUUGAAUUCUUAACCAUUUAUUCCACUUACAACCUACUAUUAUGAACUAAACUGCAUAACCAUCAGUCUAAUUCUCAAGGUUAUCAAUAACCAACCAAUAGCUUAGCACAAAGUUUAUUUACAUAUUCUAAAGUGAUAAAUAUAAUUUGCUACAUUUUAGAUUUCUUGAAUAUAUAAUGAUUGCUUCUUGUAGAACUUAUUUCAAGUAAGAGAGGUAAUAUCAUGGACAUAUAUAUUUUUUCUAAUAUUUUCUUAUAUGAUUAAAUAGAAGUAAGUAAAAAUAGAUUUAUUUCAUAUUAUUUUUUAGAAAAAUUUUUUAGAAGCUUUAUAGAUGCUGCUUUGACUUUAUAUAUAUUUGUAGUUGAUUGAUAGGUUAGAAACUUAGUGAAUAAGAUAAUCACAUAUUAAUAGCUUAUAAAAUAAGCUAACUAUAUUGUGUACAUAUAAAUAAUUUGAUUUACAAGUUGAAAUAUGUGUCUUACAAAGUCAACAUGUUUUGAAGGUCCUAUAGGACAUUGCCAUAUAGCUCUUAAUUAAGAAUAUAUAUGGAGAUAAGCGUCAAGCCUUCUUCACUCUUGUCAAUGCGUUUCUAAUGUUUAGACUUAUUUUUUAGACUAUUUAGUAUUCUUGUCUUUGACAAUAUCCAUUUUGAUUUAAUAUAUUACCAUCUUUAAGUAAUUUCUUAAUCACUUCAAGUGAUACAAGAGUAUUUUGAUCUUUUAGUUUUUUGAGAUUCAUACCCUUGAUAAUUAGAGUUAUUAGGAUCUUCUUGUUUUAAGUUCCAUUUUAUCUUCCAUAGCCAAAUGUCCAUUAUAUUCACAAGAAAUUUUCAUAAAAUAUAAUAAUGAGUUUUAUGAUAAUUUUUCAUAGAAGUUACUAUAUCUUAGUUACAUCUUAUAACCUUAUAGUAUUCAAUGUGAAAAGAUGCUAUGUUUUCUCAUGAAACUUAAGGUUUAUGUAAUAUUUCAUCUUCUUCUCUACACAAGUAUAUGAUAACUAGUACCAUUCAUCCAUAUUCUUUUUUUGUCUCUAUUUAGAUUCUAUAUAUUAGCAUUAUGGAUAUACAUAUUUAUCUAAAGAAGAAAUGCUAUAUAAAAGAUAAAUGUAGAUAGAUUUGAUAUUAUCUUAUAGUAUAGUUUCUUAGAAGCUAUAUAAAUAAUUAUUUGAUUUUAUACAUAUUCAUAGUUGAUUAGUCAAUUAGAAACUAAGCCAAUAAAUUAAUCAUGUAUCAUAAGUGUAGAUAGUUAGUCGUACAAGCUAAUAAUGUGGCGUGCAUAUAAAAAACUUGUCUUGUAAGUUAAGACAUGUGUCUCACAAAUUAGACAUGUAUUAAAAGUCUUAUAAAAUAUUACCACAUAGCUCUUAUAUAAUAUAUAUAGAGGCAAUAGUCAAGCUUUUUUCACUCUUGUCAAUGGCUUUCUAGUCCUUAGUUUGUUUUAAGACUUUUUAAUCUUCUUAUCUUUGGUAAUAGCCAAUCUAUUUUAAUAUUAUAUUAUCUUUGGAUAAUUUUUUAAUAUUUUUGAAAAACAUAAAAGCAUAUUGAUCUUCUAAUCUUUUAAAAUUCAUAUCCUUGAUAGUUUGAGAAGUCUGCUAACUUAUUGUUCUUGUUUUAUUUUAGAAGUGAGUAGAUUAUCAUACAUCUACUAUUAUAUUUUAAAGGUUAUAAACUAUCCAUCUUUAUACUAAUUUUUAAUUUUUUAAAUAUUUAUUAUUUUUCUUAAAGAGAGUAGACUAUAUUUUUGUAUAGAAAUUUUCAUUUGAUAUUAGAAGCUGCAGAUUACCUUCCUUUAAUUUGAGUUAUGAAUUCAUUUGAAAUAUUUAUGGAUGCUACUUAGGAUAGAAAUAAAAAUAAAUUUGUAACUACUACAAAUCUUUAUAAUCUUGUCAAUACUUUUACAAUCAAAAUUUCAUAUAUUUCUAACAUAAACUAUAGAGGUACUAUUUCUUCACCUAUGAUAGAAGUCAAUAAUGAGGUUCAGACUCUACACCAAGAAAUUAUGUAAUUAAGAGAAGCAAGUAGAUCAAAUUUACAAUUAAAUGCUAAAAGCCUUAUUUUUAUAAGUAUGAAAGAGACAAGGAUAAAUAUACUUGAGAAGUUUAAUAAAACAAGAUUAAAAUUUUGAAGAUUUCUACAAUAAGUGAAAUUCAUUUUAAAAUUCUAUCAUUUCCAAUAUCAUGAUGGAUUUACUCAAGUUAGAUUUAUAGAUACAUUUUUAUUUGAGAGUACUUUAACUUAAUUUUUACCUUUAAUGGAAAAUGAUUCAUAACCUUUUUGUGAUUUGAAUUCAACCUUAGAAGUCUUUAUGGCCAUGUUUGGAGACAAUGAUCAAGAAUAAGUAAUAAAGACCAAAAUCCUAUGUUUAUAACAAAGAUCAUGUUUACCUACUAUAUUUGUUAUAAAAUUUUAAAAUCUUACUUUUAAUAUGGAUUGGAAUGAUGAAGCUUUUAUCAAUUAAUUUCAAUAUGGAUUGAAAGAUAAUAUCAAGGAUUUAUUAUUGACAAUGUUGAAAACAAACUCAUUGGAGUAAUUUAUUGCUUAAGCCAUUGCAUGCAAUAAUUGAUUCUUUAAAAGACACAAAGAACAAAGGCUUAAUUGAAGUGAUACAAGUCAAAUAAUGGUAAGAACUUCUAAAUUUGUAGAAGCUUAUUUAUCAACGCUAGAAUCUAUAUAAAUUAAUACAAAUUAUUUCAAAUCUCUUAUUAAACAAGUUGAUCCCUCUUUUACAGCACGUAUGAGAAUAUAGAAGUCUUUGCCUUGUAUUAUAGAUUUAGGAGCCUCAACUUAUUUUAUAGACAAAGCCUUUGUUAAAAAAUAAAAAUAUUUUUAAUUAAGAAAAUAAAUCCAUACAUAUAAAAGUCAUAGUAGAUUAUUUAUUGUUCUUUAAAGACAUUAUCUAUGAAAUAAUUUUUUUAGAUACAACAAUUAAAGAUCAUAAUAAUUUAGUAAUAUUUAAUGUGAGUAGAUUUUUUUUAAUAUAAUUAUUUUAGUAUUAUUAUGGUUAAAAAAAUAUAAUCCUCAAAAAGACUAAAUUUUUCAUAAUCUUAAUUUUUCUCAUAAUUUAGCCCAGGAUUCUACUUAUCAAAUAAAAACCUAUAAGUCCAAUACAUCUAAAUCCUUGUUGGUAGGUGCAAAAGCUUUCAUACAUGCUGUAAACAAGGGAUCAACUUUUGAUAUAUAUACUUUACCUAUUUUCAAUGAAAAUUCAUCUUUGAGAUGAAGAAUGCAAAUAUUUUUCUAAAAUAUUGUCUCUAUUAUUGUUCCAUCAAUCUUUAAGAAGAAGCUCAACCUCCAUUUAGACCAAUCCAUAGCUUAUUAUAAAAUGCAUUGAUUGUAUUCAAAGAAUACAUUGACAAGAAUUUAGUUAAGAACUUUAUAUAUCAUUCCAAAUCUCUAGUAAGGACUCCUAUCUUAAAUAUGAAGGAAAUAGGUCUUUGCAAGUUUGUGUGGACUAUUAAGAACUCAAUAAGAUCACUAUCAAAAUUAGAUAUCUUUUACUUUUGAUUUUAUGGCUUUUUGGACAAUUGAAUUAAACAAAGAUCUAUAAAAAAUAGAUUAAAAAAUAUAUAUAUAAUAUAACAUACAUUAAAAAAUAAAUGAAUAAAAAUUAUAUUUUAAAUCAAACAUGGAUAAUUUAAAUAUAAUAACAUACCUUUUAGAUUCAUAAGUAGAUUAGUUUUUUUCUAGCAUCUAAUGAAUAAUAUAUUUUAUAAGUAUUUUGAUAAUUAUAUUGUCUACUAUCUAGAUAACAUUUUAAUCUACUCUAUAAAUAUAAAACAAUAUAAACUUUAUAUUUGUUUUUGGUUCUAAAAACUAAGAGUUGCAGGAUUAUAUGCCAAGAUAGAAAAGUGUGUAUUUUAUACUAUUCUAAUUGACUUUUUAAGUUACAUAAUUUCAAAUAAUGGCCUUAUAAUAGAUCUUAAGAAUUUUUAGACUAUUAUAAAUUGAAAGAUUUAAAAAAAAAUCAAAGAUGUACAAUAUUUUUUAAGAUUUGUCAAUUAUUAUAGGAUCUUCAUCAAAAACUUUCCUCAAAUUGUAGGUCUUCUUUCAUGUUUGACUUGCAAUAGAAGCAAUUAUCUUGUAAUUUAUACAAAACUUCCUAUGGAUGUUGCUCAUUCUCCUCAAGAAUUUUAUUAUAGAUUAGGAUAUCAUCGAUGAAGAUAAUAACAUAUUUAUCCAAAAAAAAUUUAAAAUAUCUAUGCAUGUGAUCUAUAAAGAAGGCUAGAACAUUGGUGAAGCAAAAAGAUAAAGAAAGCCAUUCAAAAUAUCCAUUAUACGUACAAAAUGCCAUUUUUUUAAUAUCUUCUUUGGUAAUAGUUGUUUACCAAUAGCUACUCUAAAGGUCUAAUUUGCUAAAGAUGGUUGCACCUUGAAGUUGAUUAAGAAGAUCAUCCAUAUGAGGAAGUAGAUAUAGAUUCUUAAGAGUCUGUUUAUUGAAGCCUCAAUAGUAGAUGGAAAGCCAAAGUCCACCAUCACUUUUGGAUGCAAAAAAUACAUGUACUUUUCAUAGUAAUACUCGUUUUUGAAUGAAGCCUUUUUUUAAGAGUUUAUCAAAUAUCUUUUGCAACUCUUUAAUUUCAUUUGGUACCAGGUGAUAAAUUAGUCAACUUGCUGAUUUAGCCUCAUAUAAUAAUUAUAUUUAGAAGGAGGUACUUCAAUCAAGUGGUAUGCUACUAUAUAAGUCGGUUGGAAAGACAUUCCAAUAUUCACAUAUGAGUUGCUCUGUCCAUUUUAUUCCUUUGAUUGUUUCUUUCACCACUAAGGCAAGAUUUUGAACUAUCAUAUAUUUUGGUUUCUUAUAUUAUAUUGGUUUCUUUAUAAAAAUCAUCCUUAUAAGUAAGCCUUUAACCACUGUCGUAUUAUAUGUUGUCGUGCUUGGGAAUGCAUUGGACACCUAGCUGUGGAAGGUGAGGUUGUGUUUCACAAAUAUCCAAGAAAUUCUAAUAGGUUUCAUCCAUAUGAGAAGAAUAUAAUCCAAAUUCCAAUUUAAAAGUGCUAAAAAACACUCUUCUUAGUAGCUUCAAUCACACAUAAACCUCAAUUAUCUUGUUACUUUCAUAUUUAAGAAAUUUAGAUUUUUCUUGUACGUCCCAAGCCUAAUUAGUGAGUUUUGACAAGCUGUAAUUUCUAAUUUGACUGUCCACUUGAUAUAAAUUUUGUAUGUAAUUGUCAAUGUAAGUCUUUUAUAUGCUUAAGAAUUUUCAACCCAAUCUAAUUUAGAGAUUGUAAAAAAACCUCCAAAAACUGCACUAAUGUCACUCAGUUGCCAACUUGAAAGGUGAAGCAAAAGUUCCAAUAAUGAAUUCUUUUUUUUCAACCAUUAAUUUUGACGCAAAAUUGGUAUGUAGCUUGAUCUUUAAGUCCUUCAAUACUAUGCCAAAUUUCACCUUGAUCCAACUAGUAGAUCUUUAGAUAUCACAAAAAUCCUACCUAAUGCCAAAUUACCAAAUUCUAAUAUAUUCUUGUAUCAAAACCUAGAUAUCUUUCAAUUACACUAUUGAAUUAUCAAAUUUUUUUACAUAUUCUUAGAACAUCUAAUUAUCCAAGUACUAUUAAAAUUUGAACUAUAGAUGUGAUACCAAUUUUACAAACUAACUAAGAGAGUUAGCCCUUAUUUCAUUGCAUAAAUCCUAAAUUGCCAAUAUAAUCCUUAGCUUCGAAUAAAAAUUGCUAACUCUCUAUCAAAUCCUACCAAAAUCAACCUCAUAUUUUUAAAGAAGAUCUAAUCUAGCUCUCAAAUUCUCAUCUCCGAUCUUCAAAUGAAUCCUUACUUUACCUUAGGUGGUUAUUUUAGUGGCCAAAGGUCUAAUUUUGACCCUAUCUUACAAACUAUUGAUCCUUGGGUAUCAAUCUAACCUAUCAAGAUUUUUUAGCUCAAAUCUAUCUUCAACUUAAUUCUAGUAUCAAUUAUAUUAAUUAUUUAUCCUUUUUAACUUGAUUUUAUUAAUUUAUGGUCUUUCUAAGGUAUUAAAAGAGUCUCUAUAGCUAAAAGGUAAAAUUACUAAUUAACCUUCAACCUACUAAUUAUUAAGAUAAGAAAAUAACCUGAGAGGUUUUUAUAAAAGCCAUAUUUAAAUACCUUGAAUUAUUAUUGAAUCAAGAUAAUUAGUUAUUAAUUAAAAUUUUAAUUUUGAUUAUAGUUUCACUAUAUAGUUGUAUUACAUCACGACACUGCAAAUCAUUUUCUACCUCACUCAAUAUAAGAAUAUGAAGAGUCACCUUGUAUCUACCAUCUUUGAAAGAGAUUGUCUUUACUAGCUAAUCAAUUUACUUAUUUUUCACUUUUAGUCAUGGCAUAUCAUAAAUAACAUCAUAUAUGGACUUUGUUAUUUUAAACUUCUUUCUUAAAACAUAGAUGACAUUCAACUUAAAGAUUUCUUUGUCAUAUGUCUCAUUCAAUAUAUUCUUUUGGUCAUUUAUUAGGUAUGUUCCUUCCUUUGAUCACCUUGGUUUUAAUUCGAAGUUAGUUAGCAAUUCCAAUUGAGAUACAAUUUUCUAUGAAAUUACAAUCCAUAAGUAGUUAAUCCAAUAGAUAUACUAAUUGAUUCUUUUUAUAGUUAUUUAGAGCCAUAUUAUUAUUUUUGAAAAAUACUAGCUAUUUUUAGUAUUAGCCUUUGAUGUCUUUAUUUAAAAAUUCUAUUUUUCUCUAUUUUUUUAUCAAUUUGGUGACUCUUGACAUUAUAAACUUAUCUUAAUUUUUUGGUAUCUAAAUUUAGAUAUUUUUAAUAACCUCCAAUCUAAUGCCCUUAUUCUUAAAAAUAAUAAUACAAUCCCUUCUUUGCCAAUAUUUGUCAUUUCUAUAAUAUUAAUGAUCCUUACAAGGCAUCAAUUUCCAUCAAUAUUGAUUAUUGUGCUAUAGUAUUAGAUAGCAGCAUAAGUCUUCCUGUUAUGGAUUGUACUCUAUAGUUUUUGAAAUAUAUAAUAUCAAUCUUCUUUGUUAUUCUAAUUGCCUCUUUUAAUGUUUGUAGAUCCCUUAAUUCCUACUCUUAUUGGACUACAAGUUUUAACUCUCAUACAAAUCAAUCUAUCAUCUGUGCUUUUGAAAUAUUAUCAAUUUAGAAAUAUAAAAACUUAAAUUAAGAGAUAUAAUCUUGCAUCGACCUAGAUUGUGUAAGGUUAAUUAAUUAAUUGUAUGCCAAAAUUAACUUCUAAACUUGGUCUUAAAUUCCUUUCAAUCACAAAAUCUACCUUGAGCUCUAUAGCUUUGACUUUAAUAUUGCUGUAUCUUUCAAAUAAUUGGUACCAUAUAUAAUUUUUUUGGUAGUAUUUGCCCUAGUUAGUUAGAGGUAUUAUUACAUAUUGAAGAGCCAUUGGCAUAUAUCUUCUUGCCUUGAAGUCCUAAAGUAUGUAUCAGACUUAUUUAAUUUCAAUCUAGCAGAUGUUGGCUCCCUUAUCCUAGAGGCUUCUAUUUGUCUUUGUAUAGUAGCUAACUGGCCUAAAAAAUAUUGUAUCUAAAUUUUGAUCUGAGAUUGUUUUGUCAUAUCUUUCAUACUACAAUUUUCUUAUUAAACUCUGUUAUUAUAAGCCUUCUUUUCUUCUAAUUAAUUUCUUAAAAGUAGCUUGUGAUAAUCCUAAAACAAUAUCUAAUGUGACUAAAACAAUUGACUUCCAACUAGAUCGUGGCUAUAAACAUACUAUCAAAGAAUAAACUAAUACUUGCUCUGAUACCAAUAAAAUGAGAUUGAACUAUUUCUAAGAGCUAAGACCCUUUCAAUCUAUAGUAAUAUAAAUUUCAUCACAACAUAGAAUAGCAUAGACCAAAAUAAAAUUGAAUACAUCUAAAUAGAAUGGAAUAUAAAAAGAAAAAUAGAAUAAAAGAAAAUAGAACAAAAUUGAACAAAAAUAAUAUAAAACCAAACUUUACUAAGAGAAAGUGAUCAAGACCAUAUUUGAUCAGAUAUCCAAAUAACCUUCAUUAGUCCUAUUUAUAUUUUAUUCAACUAUCUUGGAUUUUUUUAGAAUUUUCUUAAUGAUGGACCUUACUUACAUAACCACCUUAAAUCCUUUCUAGAAUGUUUUAUUGUGACUUCCAUAUAAACCAUCAAUCUAGCACCAAUUCUAGAAACUUUUUAAAUAUGGCUCCAACUACCUAUCUUUAUACACCAAUAAUACAAAUAUCUUAUCUAUACUCUAUUAUAGUACUAAAAUUGGCUUCGAAUUCUAAGAUAUAUGUGGUACAAUGAAAAUAACUAUAAGCAUUAAAAUCUAUUCUUUUAACACUUCUUCCAUUUAUUCUUUAAAAUCUUUUGAUAAAAGUUUAAUAAUAAAUUUUACCUUCAUAUCCAUUGUUUUAUAUUUUGUUUCAACUAUAACAUCUAUUUCUUGAAAAGAUUCAAUCAUUUGAUGAACUUCUUUUAAAUAAAUUUAUAUAAUUUUAUUAUUAUCACUUAAUCCAAUAGAUUCAAUCAAUUCUAAAGAAUCAUCCUAUCUAUUUUUUUUAUAAAUAUCAUUAAUCUUUUUAUUAUCUUCUAAUAUAUUAAUUCAUAUAAUUAUUUAUAUAUAUAUAUAUAUAUAUAAAAUCCUCAAUCUUCUUUUAUAUAAUACUUAUAUUUAUCAAAAAUAUUGAUAAAUUCUAUAUAAAAGAUACUUAUAUCUUCUAAAAGCAUGUCUCCUUUUGUACUUCUAUAAUAUCACUUUAUAGUAGUAUUUUUCAAAAAUCCUUGAAUUCUUUGAUAAUCCCUGACAAUGGAUUUUUUCUCAAUUUGUUCCCAUUUUUCUCAUGAAUUGAAGACAUAAUGAAAAUUAUACUACCUAUCUUCUAUUUUUAUUAAAAAUUUGUGCAUAAACUAAACCAUUAUUAAAUACCUUCAUUUCAAUUUAAGUUACAAAAAUAUAUGGUUGCUUCAAAAUCUAGAGAUAAGAUGUUGCAUCUUGAACAAAAAAUAUUUACUCUAGUAUAAUAUCACCAAUUCAAAUUUUCACAUUUGAGCAAGCAUCGUAUAACUCAUCUCAAGUAUUAAUAGCUAUUUAUAUUGCUUAUCCAUGUUCCAUAUCAAUUGGCCACCUUUGCUUUAUGUAAAGAUCCUUAGAUAUAAGAUUUAUCUCCAAAUUGUGGUCAAUUAAAGCAACAACCAACUCAUCCUUAUUUCCAAUCUUCACCAAUGCCUUCGUAAUUCUUCUAAUCCAAUGCUUUUGAAUAUAAUGACUUGAAACUUCUUUAUUGUUAUUAUUUUGAUCAUUAAAAUAUACUCUUUGAUCAUGACUCAUCUCCAAUAAUUAUCAAAUUUAUCUUCUUCAUCUUCAUAUGUGCAUAUAUUAAUAGUAUGAUUCAAUCUAGCUUCAUCUUUUGAUUGUUUCUUUUACUUAAUAUUGUUAAUAAUAACAUGAUGGAAUUUUUUCAUAGCAAUUCUCAAAAUCUCUUUAAAUAUGAACUCCAUCUUAGUAUUUAGUACAUGUUCUUCAAGUACUCCUUUUAAAUAUGUUGCUACCUCAAUAAAAGAGAGUAGUUUAUAAGUUAUUAACUUAUCUUUGCUUUCUAUUUCUUUUAUUUUUUCCUUCAAUGUUGUUGAAGCAUCUUCCAUUGGUAAUUCCUGUGAAGCCAUCUCACAAGCCUUGUCUCUUUAAGUUUGUUUCUUAGAAGUACUUCCUUCUUUUGUAUCUUCAAAAUUUUUUAGUUUCUUUUCCUCCAUCAAGGCUUUACAUUAGCUCUUAAAAAUAUAUACAUAAAUUGAAAGAGCCUCAAUAGGAUCUUUUCAACUUAUUGUACCAUAUAUUGUAACUAUAGUUUUUAAUAAUGCUUACUAAGGUGUUUUUCCUUUUUACAUCAUAGAAAUGAUAAAAGUCCAAAAUCUACUCAUCUCAAUAUUUCCAUCAAAAUCAUCAUCUAUCCUUGCACUAUAACUUGUACUUUUUCAUGUUGCUACUCCAUAUACUAUUAAAGAGUUUUGAAUCCAUGCUCUUAUACCUCCCUUAUCAAAAUUGGUUUAAAGCAGGUCCUCAAUAUCUUUUAAUAUCACCUAUCCAUUCUACCAAAAAACAACUCUUUGUUGCAUCAUAUCAUUAAAUUUAUUACAAUCUUUUCUAAUAUGAAAAACAUUGUCAUAUCAAAUGUAUCUUUAUAUAUAUCCUUAUUUAGAAAUAAUCUUUAAAUUAUUUUUAAAAGUCUUCUCUUUCAAUCUUGCCAAUUUGAUUUAAAGAUCCUACAUCCCAUAUAUAAUCUCUUCAAUUUCCAUAUCUUCUUUUUUUGAUGUAGAUAUUGGAGAUUGAACAAUUGGUAUUAUCUAUUGUAUUAUAUGCACUUGAAUUUUAGAUACAUAUUAUUCCUAUCCUUUUUUCUUUCUUAUUUUGUAAGCAAACUCAUAGCAUCUUUAAUAUUUUUCUACUUCAUUGUCAAUCCUUCAUCUUUUUCUUUGUCUUCAAGAGGCAACUCUAAUUUUUCUUGUAAUUCUCCAUUGGUAGCUUGAAAAAAUAAUUCAAUCUUAUUUGAUUCAAAUAUUAAUCUUUCCACCUUUGAUAAUUAAGAAUAUUGCCUCUCAAGCUCCCUCAAAACUUUGUAGUUUGUAAAUUCUGGUUAGGUCGCUCAAUCCAUUUUAAAAAUGAUUUUUCAGUAACUCAAUCACUAUCCUUCAAAAAAUAUUUUUCCUUUAGUAUAUGUGAAAAUGUCUUCCAUGAAUCUCCAAAAUUCUCCAUAAUUAAUUUAAUAAUUUCUCUUAUUUCCAGUAUUGUAGCAAGUCCAAAUAGCUUAAUCAUCUUCUUUUUAGAAACAUGAUUCAAUUCUAUUUCUUGUUAUUGUAUUAUGUGUGUUCUUGCUUGAAAAUGCAUCAAGCAUCUAGUUGUAGAGGGUGAGUAGAAAUGCAAUAACAAUUCUACUAAGUAUAAUAGAAACUUAAAUAAAUUUUAAGUAAACCUUAAUAAUUCUAAUUAAACUUUGACCAAUUCAAAAUAAAUUUUAAGAAGUUAUAAAAAAAAAAAAACACAAAACACAAAAAAAACACAAAAAAAAUUCAAACUAAUCUUAAAGAAAAAUAAUAAGAAAUAUUAAAGAAAUAUAAAAAUAAACCUUUAAAGAAAUAACAAUAAUCUUAAAGAAAUAUUAAAAAUAAUUUUUUUGAAGAAAUAAUAAAAAAAUCUUUUAAAAAUAUUAAAAAUAAAAAUAUUAACUAAAUAUUAAUCAACCUUUAAAUAAAAUCCUAAUUGAAAUAUUAAUUAAGUCGUAACCAAAUUCUAAAUCAAAUCCUAAUGAACUCUUAAUGAAAUUUUAAAUCCUAGAUAAACCAAAGACAAAUCCUAAUCAAUUUGUAAUCAAGUUUUAAACCAAAUUCUAAGAAAAUCUUGAUCCUAAUCAAAUCUUAGAUCAAAUCUUAAGUUCUAAUUAAAUUUUAGACAAAUCCUAAAUCAAAUCUAAACAAAAUUUUAUCCAAAAAAAUGAAACCUUAAUAACUAACUAGACUUCUAUCACUUACUUAAAGCAAAAUAGAAUCUUAAUAACUAAUGAUCAAAUUAUUGAUAUCAAUUCAAAAUUUGCAUACUUCUUAAUAUCUUGAUUAAAAACAAGUAUAAGAAAGAUGAAAUCAAUUACACUUACCAAUUGAGAGAAAUGUAAGAUAAUCCAAUCAAGUAUUGAACGGCCUCCUAUUCCAACGUAAAUACUAAACUUCUAGCAUUAAUACAACCUUCUUGAACUUUUGAAUUACUCUUAAAUUUUAUCUAAACAUUGAAAAUUGAAUCUAGUAUUAAUACAAAAAAAUUCAUUUCAAUCCAAUUGAUAGAUUACUAAAGAUGUUAAAAAUACUCACUAACCUUCAAAUUCCAAUUUUUAAGACCUCAAUCCACAAAAAUCUUUAUAUACUUCGAUGUAACCAUUUAAUUGAUCUCAAAACUUUUACACACAUUUAAAACUAGCACACCAAUACAUUGCCCAAAAUUCACUUAUAUAUAUACCAAAAAAUUCGAGAAAUCCUCAAAUUUGUAAAUAUAUUUUUAUUUUUUUAAAUCAAAACCAAUUGAAAAUAUUACUAAUUUUAAAAAUCCUUCAAAAACUCAAUAUUGAUUCAAUUGAUAUAAAACCAAUGCUUAAAAUUUGCUCUUCAAGUCUUUUAUCAAAUUCUAUUCUUUAAUCUAUUAAAAAAUCAAAAAGUUGCUGAAUACACAUAAUUUUAUGCCUCAAUGUGUGAUUUUAAUCUAGGUUCACAAUUCGUCAUCUUUGGAUAUCAAUUUUUGAUAAUUUGAGGUAAGUUUUAAUUUAUUCUAUUUUUAAUUUUCUUCUAAAUAUGCCAAUAUUAAUUUCUUAUUUCAUUUAUUUUGAUUUGGCUCAUUUAUGCCUCUACAAAAUAAAUAGAAGUUCCUUCUACAAAAAAGUACCAUUAAGAUAAAAACUUUUACUACCUUUCUAUCUUUUAUUUUUAUUUUUUUACUACAUUUUUUUGCUUGGCUCUUCUAUAAUAACAUCCAUAUUUCUAUAUUUUACUAUAUAAUCAUAUUAUCAUAUAACACCAUAUAUAACAUCUCAAAUAUUUUGAAAUAUCUCUUCUAUCAAGUUAGUUAAUUUUAUUAACUAUUGCUUAUAAUGCUUUGAUUACCUAAGCUUCUUUGCAAUAAUUGCCCUGUUGUUGUUGCAUAAAUAAUAUAAAUUCUUGAAACAUAUUUAUGGUAUUUGGAUCAAAGUAGAUAUUUUAACGACUAGUAAAAAAUCCACUUGAAGCUCAACUUAAAGAUCCACUUGAAGCUCCAUUCAAAGCUCUAUCAAAAACUCCAAAUCCAACCUUCUUGUUUUCUUGGGCUAUUAGUUUCAAUUAACCACUAAUAUAAUUUAACACCUUCUACUUCAAAUUUUCAUGUUAGAUUCACCACUUAAAUCAUAUUAUGUAUUGUCUUGUUUGAAAAUGCACCGAGUAUCUGGCUAUGGAAGAUGAAGUUAUAUUUUAUAAGUAUUUAAAAAAUCCUAAUAUAUUUUUUUCAUAUAAAAAAUGUAAUUUAAAUUUUAAUUCAAAAGUGCUUAAAGCUAAUACAAAGUACUCAAAAAUACUCUUUUUAGUAACUUCAACAAUGCACAAAUUCCAAUUGCCUUAUUAUUUUCACAAUUAAACAAUUUUGAUUUUCUUUGUAAGUCCUAAUCUUAAUCAGUGAGCUUCAGCAAGUUGUAACUCCUAAUUUGACCAUCUACUUGAUGCAAAAUUUUGCAUAAAAAUGCUAAUAAAAGUCUUUUAUAUGCUCAAGAAAAUUCAAUCCAAUUCAACUUAUAAAUUAUGAGAAAAUAUCCAAAAAAUUGCAUUGAUAUCACUUAGCUACCAACUUAAAAGUUGAUACAAAUAUUUCAAUAGUAAUUUUUCCUUCUAAAAUUAUUAACUUGAAUUCAAAACUAAUAUAUAGCUUGAUCUUUAAGUCUUCUAAUACCAUGCCAAAUUUUAUUUUUUUUCAACUUAUAGAUCUUUAGAUAUCAUAGAAAUCCUAUGCAAUCUCAACGUGCCAAUUUCUAAUACUGUUUUGUACCAAAAAUCAGAUAUCUCUCAACUUCACUAUUAGAUUAAUAUAAAAUUUUAUGUACACUUAGCACAUCCAAUCAACCAAGUACUAUCAAAUUUUGAAUUAUAGAUGUGACACCAAUUGCACAAAUUAGUCAAGAGUAUUAAUUUUAAUUCCAUUGCAAAAAUUUAAAGUCAUCAAUACAAAUCCUAAUUUUGAAUAAUAAUUUUAAAAUCAUUCCAAAUCUUAUGAAAAUAAGAUUUAUGCUUUUAGAAUGAGUUUAAAGCUAGCUCUCCAAUUUUAGUUGCCAAUUUCGAAAUGUAUACAUACUUUGCUUUAGGUGGCCGUUUUAGUGGCUAGAAGUUUGAUUUUGACCUUGUACUACAAACAGUCAAUCCUUGGAUAUCAAUCUAAUCUAUUCUAAGGAUUUUUUAGUCCAAAUCUACCUUCAAUUUAAUACUAGUAUGAAUCAUAUUAAUUUUUUAUUUCUUCUACCUUAUUUUUAUUAAUUUAUGGUUUUUUUAAGGCAGUAAAAGAAUUUCUAUAAUUAAAAGGCAAAAUUAUUAAUCAACCUUUAAUCUACUAGCUAUUAAGACAAGAAAUAAACUAAGGGCUUUUAUAAAAGCCAUGUUUAAAUUUAAUGAAUUUUUAUUGAACCAAAAUGAUUAGAUAUUAAUGAAAUAAUUUAUUUUUUAUUAUAUUUUUAUUAUAUAGUCAUGUUAUAGUAUAAUAGUGUUUUGAAUCAUUGCCAAGUCCACUAAAAUAUGUUCUUAUCAAGAUUCAAAUUCAAGAUCAUUUAUUGACCAAAAAAAUAAUAAGAUUUAUUAGACGCUUUUUCUAAAUAAUCUUAUCUUAUAUGAAAAGAAAAAAAUAUUUCUUUUAAUUAAUAACAAAUAAUUUUCUUAAAAAAAAAUAUUUUUAAUUUCAAGCUAUUAAAUCAACACUAAUUGUUGAUUCAACUUUUAUUAAGCAAGUUUAGUAAAGUAUGUCUUUUGAUUCUCUUAUUUGAGAUAUUAAAGAAAAUCUUUCAAAGUCUAACGAUACUUCUAAGUUUGAAUUCAAGAAAAAUCUAUUGUAUUUCAAGGGAUGCUUAUAUGUUCUAAAAGAUGAAGCUCGAUUACAUAUUCUUCUAGCUUAUCAUGAACUUCCAAUAGUAGCAUAUUUUUGAUAUAAUAAAAUUUUGAAAUUAAUAUCUAGGAAUUUUUAAUGGCCCUCAAAUAUAGAAGGCAGUGUCAGAAUAGAGAGAGUUAAGCCUCAAGAAAGCACUGUGCUUUUAGCUGCUACUAAUUGCUAAAUUAAGUCUUGAGAUAAGAAAGCCCAAGUUUGUAUAUGUGUAUAAUACUUUUAGGAGAAAUUAUACCAAAUAUAUAAUUCUUAAGUUCCCAAAAAAUCCAAAAUAUCUUAAAAAACUAUAAAUCUUUAUAUAUCUUUAUAAGAUAUUAUUUCCAAACUUCAAAAAAUUCAUAUCUUCCAAUCGAACCAUUCAAAUAUACUCAAAUUUUAUAUGAAGUACUAAUGUACUUUAAAAAACUACUACAACAAAUUUUAAUUACAAAUUCAUUACAGAUCUUAAGAUAUCACCAAAAUCCUAACAAUAGCUUCAAAUCCUAGUUUUUAUACACUCAUAUACAAUUUUCUUCAUAUCUCACAAACUAAGUACUUAAAUGCCACAAAAUUUACAUGAAUAACUUUUUAAUACAAUAAUCUACCUUCUUCAAAAGGUUUGAGCUCAAAAUUCGUCUAGAAACUCAAGAUAUGGGUCCAACCAUUACUAUGAAUAAAAUCACUUACUUAGUGCUUUUGAUUUGGAUGCACUGACUUCAACUCUCUAUAACUUUUUUAUCCAAAUUCCAAAUUCAUCAAACAGUACAUGAAAAAUGUAGUCAAAAAAGUCUUCUCUCCAACUCUAAUCUCUGAUCCUUCGUUGCUCUUUGUAAACGUAUGUUAUGCCCCAUAGAGUGAAAAUAGGUAUGAAAUUGAUACCUUAACUUUAAGCACCAAUAACUCCUUCAUAAAAACUCCAAAUCACACAAAAUUUAUAUCCUAUCCGUAUCCAAAAACCUAAACUUGCUGAUUCAAGCGUCAAAAGCUUGAAUGCCUUCAAAAGUGAAAUCCUAAUCCCUAAUAAGACCUCGGGCAGCCUCCUUGAAGCCCAUUGGACAUGGCCUUCGACCAAUAGGAAUGAAGAUUCCCAUUUCUUACCUUCAUCCAACUAUGCCUUUCUUUCAUCCCUUCUAAUAAGCCUCCUACUAAUUUAGAUUUUCAUCUUUAGGCUCUAAUCUCCUCUCAAGGCUUUAUACUAAACAUUUAGGUCUUAUAAUUUUUUAAAUACUAUAAUCAAAAUAGAUAAAACUCAAAAUACAGUUUUUUAUAUCCAAUUUAUUUAAAUUAAUUUAUUAACCAUUCUAACAUACACCAAGACUUAUAAUCAUAUUAUAUGUUCUAAUUAAUUCUUACAUGCUAUAAGCAAUUAUAGUACAACAGUAAUCAAAGAUUUUAUAUAAGCUUGUGAUAUUCCUUUAAAAUCAAAAACUCCUCAUCAUCAACCUUAAAGACUUUUUCAACUAUUAUCUAUUUUUAAAUAACUAUAAACUUUUAUUUUAUGGAUUUUAUUAUAGAUCUUUCAAUCAUAGGUUCUUAUGAAUCUAUAUUUGUAAUAGUAGCUUGUUUCACUAAGAUGGCAUAUUUUAUACCAUAUACAAAAUCUAUUACAGGUGAAGAAACUGCCAAACUUUUAUUUCACAAAAUCUACUAUUAUCAUAGAUUGUCUAAAGAUAUUAUAUCAGAUAGGAGAACUCAAUUUGUAUCAAGAUUUUGAAGAAUGCUUUUUAAGAUUUUAAAGAUAGACAUAUAACUAUUUUUGACUUUCUAUCUUUAAAUUCAUGGAUAACCAAAGCAUAUAAAUCAAGUUUUAGAAUAGCAUUCGAGGUGUACCAUCAACUACUAAUAAGAUGAUUGAACAAUUCUUUUUUAUUAAUAGAAUUUAUUAAUAAUAAUAUAAUACAUUCUUCUACUCAAACUUUUUUUUUAUUAAUUGUGAUUAUCAUUCAUAACUUGGUGCUUUUGACUUUUUUAAAAUUAAUAAUUUUACAACAAAAGAUUUGAUAAAUCAUUUAUUUGAGUUAUAUAUAAUAAUAAAGGUGCAGCUAAAAGAGGUUUAAGAACAACAAAUGAGUAACGCAAAUGCUUAUUUUACAAGCAACAAUCUCAUUCCUAUGUUAGUAAUAAAAUAUGAUUACUUCAUUGUAAUAUUAAAACCAUUUUUUCUUGUGACAAGUUGAAUUAUUGUAGACUUCAACCAUUUCUUAUUUAUAAAUAAUUCAAUCCAAUUGCUUAUCUAUUAUAUUUAUUAGAAUCUAUAAAAAUCCAUUUUAUAUUUUAAAUACUUUUUUUAGAGCCAUAUAAGAUACUAAAUAUUUCGAAAGAAAAGACAAAUAUCACCACCUCUUAUAGAAGUGGAUAAUAAUCAAGAAAUUGAGAUAGAAGAAGUCUUAGACUUAAGAUGACACCAACAUAGGUUUGAAUAUCUUAUUCAUUGGCAUGGAUAUGAUAUUAAUAAAUACACAUGAAAGCCAAAAAAAAACUUACAAAUGUAGCAAAGAAGGUAAAAGCUUUUCAUCAAGAACAUCCAUCAAAAUCAAGAUGAAAGAUAACAAAUCUUUGCUAUAAAAGAAAUACAAUUUAAAAAAGAUUACAUUCUAUCUUCUAUCCUUAUUUGUAAUUUUUGUAUAAUUGUAGAAUUAAGGAGAUAAAAAAUCAACAGCCAACAGAUUCAAGUAAAGUGCUAUCAUUUACUAAAUUAUUAGACAAAAAAUUAUAAUUAUCACAAUCUUUAAGAUGGCAUUAUAGGAAUGAAGGCCUUCAAGAGUGAUAUGUUUUUCUUUGAAUAGAUAGCAAGUUACAAUGCAUUUAUUAUCAUGACCUAUGAAGAGAGUCUUGAUAUUGGGUGAUUUUAUUAGAGAUAUAAACAAUCCCUAAUGGUGUUACAAAUGAUUUUUUUGAAAGAAAUUAUGAAGGUCUCAACAAUGAUCAAAUAAUAAGGUGGACUUUUUGUGAUAGAAUAGAACAUUAUCGAUGAUUGAGACAACUUAUCAACUAUCUUUGAAGGGGAUAAAGAUCAUAGUAUAUAACAAAUAUAAUUUUUUAUAUCUUAGACUUCCUUGACAUGUGAUCAUUGCUCGUUGUGGAACUUGUCAAUAGAAUGAAAAAUAAUAUCAUGGACAUAUAUUAAUUAUUAUUAUUAUUUAGGUAAUAUAAGUAAAUAAAAGUAAAUAAAAAUAGAUUAAUUUUAUAAUAUCUUCUAAAAAAGCUUAUUAGAAGAUUUAUAGAUGUUAUUUUGAUUUUAUAUGUAUUUCUAGUUGAUUGAUAGAUUAAAAACUUGAUCAAUAAAUUAACCAUGUACCAUACAUAUUAAUAGCUUGUAAAACAAGCUAAUUAUGUGGCACCAUGUAGAAAACCUGUCUUGUAAGUUAAGACACAUGUUGUGCAAAGUCAAUAAGUUUUAGAAGUCUUAUUGAAUGUCACUACGUAGCUCUUAGAUAGAUAAUAUAUAUAGAAGCAAGAAUGAAGCUUUUUUCACUUUUAUCAAUUCUAUCCUUGUUUCUACUCUAGUUUCAAGAAGUCUCUAGUUUUCUUAUCUUUUGGUAAUAGUCAUUUCAGUUUUUCUUUAAUAUACAUACUUCUUUAUUUCUAUUUUAUUAUAUUUCUUUGAAAAAGUCUUAUUUUUUUAUUUUUUUUAUUGAGUUUUUAUCUCUAAUACCUUAACAUUUAAUACAUAUUUUUCCAAUACUUCUUUUAGAUCUAUAGCUGCUUCAAUAUUAGAGAGUAGUUUAUAAGUUAUUAUUUAGUUUUAUUUUUUGUCUCUUUUACUUUUUUUUCUAAUAUUAUUGAAGUAUCCUUUGUAGGCAAAUCUUGUGAAGUUGUCUCACAAACCUUGUCUCCUUGAGUUUGAUUUUUAGAAGAAUUUCCUUCUCUUGUAUCAUCAAGAUUAUUUCAUUUUUUUUUCUUCCAUCAAGGCUUUAUGUUGGCUCUUAGUAAUAUAUGCAUGAAUUGAAAGAACUUCUAUAAGAUUUUUUCAACUUCAUAGAUCGCAUAUUAUUGUUACAAUUCUCAAUAAUACUUUUUGAGGUAUUUUAUAUAUAUAUAUUAUAAAAUAACAAAAGUCCAAAAUUUACUUCUCUCUAUACUUCUAUCAAGAUUAUCAUCUAUCUAACACUAUAACUUGUACUUUCUUGUAUUGCUAUCAUAUAUGCUAUUAAAGAAUCUUGAAUCCUAACUCUCAUACCUCCCUUAACAAAAUUGGUUUAAAAAAGGUCCUCCAUAUCUUAUAAUGCCAUCUUUCUAUCUUUAUAGAAAAUAAUUCUUUAUUGCACCAUAUCAUUAAAUUCAUUAGAAUCCUUCUUAAUAUGAAAAAUAUCGUUACAUAAAAUAUAUCUUUAUAUAUACCUUUAUUUAAAAAUAGUCUUUAAAUUAUUUGUAGAAGUCUUUUCUUUAAGUCUUACAAAUUUGAUUUGAAGAUCCCACAUUUCACAAAUAAUUUCUUCAACUCUCAUAUUUUCUUUUAUUGAUGUAUAUGCUGAAGCUUGAACAAUAAGCAUUAUUGGUUGUUUUGUAUGUACUUGAAUUUUAGAUAUUUAUACUAUUUUUGAAAUAUUAAUCCUAUCCAUUUUUUUUUUAUAUUUUGUAAGCAAAUCUAUUGCAUCUUCAACAUUUCUCCAUUUCAUUGUCAAUUCUUCAUCUUCUUCUUUAUCUUUAAGAAGCAAUUCCAAUUUUAUCUAUAUCUUAUAAGAAUAUAUUUUCUAUUGUACCUCUAUAAUUUUCCUUUAUAAUAGUACUUCUUCAAAAUCUUUGAAUUUUACAACAACUCUUUACAAUAGAUCCUCUCUCAAUUUUUUUUUAAUUUUUUUCAUAAUUUAGAGAUACUAUUAGAAAUUAUAUUGUUAUUUUUUAUCUUUAGAAUAAAUUAGUGCAUAAGUUGAACCAUCAUCAAAUAUCUUCAUUUUAAUCUAUGUUGCAAUAAUGUAUGGUUGCCCCAAAAUAAGAAGAUAAGAUGUUGUAUCUUAUAUAAAGAAACUUUGUUCCAUUGCAACAUCACCAAUUCAAAUUUUUAUAUCUAGAUAAAUACCAUACAAUUCAUCUCAUAUAUUUUCAAUUGCUUAUAUCAUUCAUCCAUACUCAAAAUCAAUUAGCCACCUCCUUUGCUUAUAAAGAUUUUUAGACAUAAGAUUUAUUUUUAAACCAUAGUAAAUAAAAGCAACAAACAAUUCAUCUAUAUUUCCAACCUUCACCAAUGCCUUUGUAGUUGUCCUAAUUCAAUGCUUUCAAAUAUAAUGACUUGAAUUUAUUUAUUUAUUUAUUUAUUUAUUUAUUUAUUUAUUUAUUUAUUAUCACUUUGAUCAUCAAAAUAAACUCUUUGAUUAUAAUUCUUUCUUUUACUUGCAAAUUAUUUAUAAUAAUUAUCAAAUAAAUAUUUUAUAUUCUCAUAUAUAUAUGUAUUAAUAACAUGACUCAAUCUAACUUCUCCCACUAAUUACUUCUUUUGUUUAAUAUUGUCAAUAAUGAUAUCAUAAAAUUCUUUCUUGGUAUUUUCAAAAUCUCCUUCAAUGUGAAUUUAAUCUUAGCAUUGAGUACAUAUUCUUCAAGUACCCUCUUUAAAUCUUCUAUUGCCUUAAUAUCAAAUUAUAUUUUAAAUAUUGACAACUUAUCUUUGUUUUUUAUAUUUUUUAAUUUUUUUUUAAUAUUACCAAAAUAUCCUUCAUUGAUAAUUCUUAUAAAGCCAUCUCAUAAGUCUUGUCUCCUCAAGUUUGUCUUUUGGAAGUACUUCAUUCUCUUCUAUUUUUAGAAUCUUUUUUUUUCUUCUAUCAAAGCCUCAUAUUAGCUGCUAGCAAUGUAUGCAUGUAUUCAAAGAGUUUCUACAGGAUCCUUCCAUCUUAUAAGUCUAUAAAUUAUAGCAAUAGUUUUCAAUAAUACUUCUCAUAGUAUCUUUUUCUUUUGCAUUGUAGAAAUAGAAAAAGACCAAAGUCCACUUAGUUCAAUAUUUCCAAUAAAAUCUUAUUUCUUAUCAUCAUUCACUAUAGUAUCAUAACAUAUAGCUUCUAUUGCUAUAAUCCUAUAUGUAGUCAAAUUAUCUUUAACUAAUAUUUUCAUAUCUCCUUUACUAAAGUUGAUUUGGAAAAGAUCAUAAGUAUUCUUCAAUGACUUUUCUAUCUUUUUAAAUAAUAAUGCUUUGCUGCAUCAUUUCAUUGAAUUCACUACAAUCUUUUCAAGAAUAAAAAAAAUAUUACACCAAAUACAUCUUUGUACAUAUCUUUGUUUAAAAGUAGCCCUUGAACCAUCUAUAGAAGUCUUUUCUUUAAGCUUUGCAAAUUUGAUUUGAAGAUCUCCCAUUCCAUGUAUAAUUUCUUCAAGUUCCAUAUCUUCUUUCUUUGAUGUAAUCAUUGGAGGUUGGACAAUAGAUACUAUUGGUCAUGAAAUAGGCACUUGAAUUUUAGAUAUCCAUAUAAUUCUUUGAACACCAACCCUAUCCUUUCUCUUUUCCUUCUUUGUACAUAAUCCUAUAACAUCUUCAAUUUUUCUCUAUUUUUUUGUCAAUCCUUCAUCUUCUUCAUUAUUUUUAAGAAGAACCUCAAAAUUUUCAUGCAAUUCUCCAUUAAUUGCUUGAACAAACAAUUUAACCUUGUUUGAUUUUAAUAUUAACUUUUUUACUUUUGAUAAUAAAAAUUAUUGCAUUUUAAACUUCUUUAAUAAUUUUAUACCUUGUAAAUUAUUGUUAGGCCAUUCAAUCCAUUUUAAGAAUGAUUUCUUAAUAACUCAAUCAAUAUCGUCAAAGAAAUAUUCAUACUUUAAUGCAUAUAAAAAAAUCUUCCAUAAACUUCCAAAUUUUUCUAUAAUUGACCUUAUAUGCUUUCUUAUCUCUGAUACUAUAGUAAGUUCAAAUAAUUGAAUUAUUUUCUUUUCUAAAAUAUGAUACAAUUUUAUUUUUUAUACAUAACAUCUCAAAUAUUUAAAAAUAUUCUUUCUAUCAAAUUAAUCAACUUUAUUAAUCAUUGCUUGCAAUGCUUUCAUUGCUAAAGUCUUCUUGAAAUUAAUGCUCUAUUAUUAUUGCAUAAAUAAUAUGAAUGCAUGAAACAUAUCUAUGGUAUUUGGAUCGAAAUACAUAUCUUGUUCUCUAAUAAAAAACCUAUUUGAAGCUCUACUUGAAGCUCCAUCUAAAGCUCUACAAAAGCUCUACUUGUACAUCCACUCAAAGCUAUAGCUUCCAUCUUCUUGCCUUCUUUUUCUAUCAAAUCAAAAUAAGAAUGAAUAAAAUUCAAUACCUUUUACUCCAAAAUUUUAUGUCAAGUUCACCAUUUAUAUCAUAUUACAAGUCUUCUUGUUUGAGAAUGCAUUGAGUACUUGACUAUGGAAGGUGAAGUCAUAUGUUAAAAUUAUUUAAGAAAUCUUAAUAAGUUUCAACCAUUAAGAAGGAAGAAAUUUGAAUUCUAAUAUAAAAGAAAUUAAAGCCAAUGCAAAGUAUUCAAAAAUACUCUUUUUAAUUACCUUAAGAGAAUACAAAUUCUAAUUGUCUUGUUAUUUGCCUUUUUUUGCAACUUCUAAUUUUUUUCUCCAAAUUUUAAUUCUAGGCAACGAGCUUCAACUUACUAUAAUUCCUAAUCCAACCAUCUAGUUCAUAUAAAAAAAAUUAUACUAGUAAAACAAUAUGUCUUCUAUAAAUUCAAAAAAUUAACUUCAGCUCCAAAUUGGUGUUUAGUUUAAUAUAUUAUACUACUAAAACCACACCAAAUUCCUCUUUGUUUCAAUAAGUAGAUCUUCAAAUAUUGCAAAAAUCCUAUCCAACCUUAAAUUACCAACUUCCACUAUGUCCUUGCACUAAUAACUAAAUAUCUUCUAAUUACAUAGUUAGAAUAAUAUGAAAGUUCACACAAAAUUAGCACAUCCAUUCAACUGCAUAUUGACAAAAUUUGAACCAUAGAUAUUGUAUGCAUCUCACAAACUAGUUGAUAGUGCCAGUCCUAAUUUUAUUGCAUAAAUCCAAAGUUACUAAUACAAACCUUGACUUUGCACAAUGAUUACAAAGUCAUUUCAAAAUCUAUAAAAAUAAGCUUUAUAACUCUAAAAUAAACUUGAAGCAACUUGGAAUUUAAGACUUCUUACUUUCUCAUUUAAAUAUAAAGAUCUUUUUAUUUUUUAAUCAAUUUUAAUAUUAAAAUAUAAUAAAUUAUUUACAAAAGAUACAAUAAUAAAGAAAAUAAAAGAUUAGGCUCUAUCCAAAUCUUAGUGAAUAGAUCAUUAUAAGAUUAAAAAGUAGAGAUAAUAUGUUAAAUGAGUCUUUAUUUACUAGACAUGACAAACAAGAAUAAUAUUGGCAAUAGCAGAAAAAGUAUCCAACUAAUACCUUAUGUUAGACAAACAAAAACAAUUCAAGUAGCUUCUUGAAUCAAAAUAUUUCAAUAAACCUAAAACCUUCAAUAGUACCUCUAAUUACUUAUGAAUAAUUUUGUGUUUCUUUUUAAAAAAAAAAAUCUCAAACCAUAAAUUCUACAUCUCUUCUAUCAAUAUUUUUAAAACUCCCAACAUUUGGUUGUCUUCACUCAUAACUAUUCACACAAUUUGAUGUAUCCACCCAUCAUCUCUGUCACACAUGGAUUACCACAAACAAACAAAUGAAGUAAAAAAAGGUUAGAUGAGGGCAAGAUACAAAAAUCGGAUAAUGUCUUGCUUAAUAACGUUUUCUUGUUGAACAGCGGAUGAUGGUAACGUUCAUCCAUCCAAAUGAUGCAGUAUAUGAUUCGUUCAUCUAACUUGGGGGCUUUCUCAUCUCGUCGUAGCAGGAAGGAAACUAGCAGAGAGUAAACCUUCUUCCGCAGCUUUCGAAUCCUUCGCUGUUGUUGUUGCAGUGUCGCGGCGCAAUUGUUGCUGCAUGCACUUCGUUCGUGGAGUGGAGUGGAGUGGAUGCUUCCCCUCUUUUUCCUUCUUCACUUCACGCACUUCGACGCACUCGAGUAUCUUCUCUUGCACCCUCCACUUUGGCAACCUCUCGCACAGUUGAGGUUCUCGGAUCCUCCCACUCGGAUUUCGUACCAGGUGAUUUUUUCAGCAGUUGUUGAACCGAUUGGUUGGAGAUGAAUGCCUCGCUUAGAUGUUAUCAGUUUCACGAAUUCUGGAAUUAUGGGCUGUCUGAAGCAGUGCCUCUCCGCUCUCAACAGAUGAAUUUAGGGUUUUUGUUGUUUUUUUUACUCUGGGGGAAGCGUUGUAUUCUUGUACAGUGUUGCAAUUCUGUUUGUCAGUGUUACGAAUGUGGUUGUGGUUUGAGGACGUUUCUUCGAAAAAUAUCGAUGACUUCCAUGUAUGAGAAAUGUUAGCUCGAGGUUUGGUAGUGGUUAUAGUUUGUCGAGAAUGGCGAGGUUUAGUGUUGUUUAUAUUUUUUUUAUUUUAGGUCUUGCGAUGAGCUAUGGACCCUAUAUUCUUUGAAGUGAAAGAACACUUACAUACCUGAUAGUCAUUGUUGGUUUUCGAAGUGCAUAAAAUUGCAGCUUGUCAAUUUCGGAGGGCAUUUGGGUGUUGAUUCGGAGCUAUUUUAGGUUUGCAGGUGCUUUCUUUCUGGAGCUAACGAGAAUGGCCGCGAAGAGGGAAGGUGAGGUCGAUGAUUUGGCUCUGGUUUCGAAGCGGCAGCGCACCGAUGGAGGAUCUUUAGUCCCCGUGAGAAGUCCAGCUUCCCAGGCUGGCAAUCAACUCAGUACAACUGUGGAGGUAAUACUAUUUUCAAUUGUCACUUGAUGCAACCUUCGUCUUGUUUCAAUACUUAUUCAAGUUCGGUGUUUUCCCAAUGGCCAGUAAAUGCCCCAUAGAAAAUAACCCUUCAUGAGGAGAAGGGUAUGGGAAAUGAGUGAUACUUUGAUUGUUUUUUUCACUCUUGGUCUUAAUCCUCCAUGUAGUAACCCUAGUUCAUCUUCGCAUCCUUCAAUUUUACAUUUUGAAUUUGAAUCAGGAGGCACCCGCACAUUCUAGCUGGAGGAACUCUUGUUUAAUAAGGAAUAUGUGGUGAACUUUCAUGAGCGGAAGUCUUUUUGAUUUUCCUUUCAGCGCAGAUUUUUAAUAUUCAAUUUGAAAUUGUGUUGAUAUUUCAGGGUAUUAAACGGACGUCCAGCCUCGAUGCUCCCAUUAUGCUGCUUACGGGCCACGGAGUAUGUUUUUAACUUGAAUCAUAUUGUUUAAUGUUAAUUUUUCUUCAUUUCAAAGCCUAUUCGUUUUGUGCUCUGCGUACAUCGGCUUUUUACAACUUAACAUCGUUGUUUUUGUUUUCGUGCAGGGUGCUGUGUAUACUAUGAAGUUCAACCCUCAAGGCACAGCAAUAGCUUCUGGAUCGCAUGACAAGGAUAUCUGUAAGUUUCUCUUCAAAGUGAAAAGUUUUCUGGAAGGUCUAUGAGGGCUCAAUUCAAGUACACUUUGCUUGUUCUCUGGCCUAAUGUGUUUUUAUUUUAUUUUUUAUUUUUUAUUUUUAACUUUAUGACCGCAAGGAUAUACCUGUUUUCGUGUUUAGGAUUAUCGUUUUUUCAGUAGUGUUUGUAUCUGCCUGAAACAUGGGGUUGCAGUUUUGUGGAAUGUGCAAGGUGAUUGUGACAAUUAUAUGGUGUUGAAGGGACACCGCAAUGCCGUUUUGGAUCUUUGCUGGACUAGUGAUGGGCAACACAUCAUCUCAGCUAGUCCAGAUAAAACAGUGCGCGCAUGGGAUGCAGUUACCGGGAAACAGGUGUGUUUCUUGUUUUUGGGCAUAAAAAGAUGUGCGAGUUCGUGGAUACAAUGUUUGUAUUAUACUUUCCUAUACAUGUUUUACCAGAACCAUCAACUCGAAAUUCACUUUUCCUCAUCUUAACUUUCUGCAGAUUAAAAAGAUGGCAGAGCAUUCAUUAUAUGUGAAUAGUUGUAGCGCUGCUAGGAGGGGACCACCACUUAUAGUUAGCGGCUCGGAUGAUGGUACUGCUAAAUUGUGGGAUAUGCGCCAUCGCGGUUGCAUCCAAACUUUCCCAGACAAAUAUCAGGUUGGUUUCAUCUACUAGCUUGUUGCUCGCCCGUCGAUACUAAAGGGAAUUUUUCUGAACUCAUAAUAUUCCGAUAUACACUGGAGUGAUGACUAUUUUGGUGGUAAGACUUAGAACUAGUUCCACUGGCCAGGUAUUGAUUUUCAAUGUAGCAUGAGGCUGCUACAUGGGUGUCUUUUAGUCGGGCCAGUUUGAAAGUCAAACUGUAUACCUUGAAUCUUGUGGGCGUUGGCUAUGAUUCAACGUCAAUGGCAUUAGUGAUGUUCCUGAUCCACUCAGUAAUCGGUACGGUGAAGCAGGUUACAGCAGUAGCAUUCUCUGAUGGCGCAGACAAAAUCUUCAGUGGAGGUAUUGAUAACGAUAUCAAAGUAUGGGACCUCCGCAAGAAUGAAGUGGCCAUGAAGCUACAAGGGCACACCGAGACCAUAACUAGCAUGCAAUUGAGCCCGGAUGGAUCCUAUCUUCUUACCAACUCCAUGGAUUGCACGUUGAGAAUCUGGGACAUGAGGCCAUAUGCACCUCAGGUUGGUUGUCUUGUUAUUUAUUGGAUGGGAGCUUUUCAUCCUCCAUUCCCAUAUGUAACCUCGUCAAUUUGCCUUUUUUUUUUUUUUUUUUUUUUUUUUUUUAAUGCAAUGUCUUUAAGCCAAUCAUCAUUGUUUCCAAGUUUUUUGCAGCCUUCCUUUUUUACCUAUAUUACAUCACUCUGGGCCUGCAAUGGGUCCCAAUAGAGGGAGGUGGCUUUAAAAUGUAGUCUCUCUUUACAGAAUGAUACUCUUUUUUUAAUUGUAAUUUGCUCCGAUUGCAGAAUCGAUGUGUGAAGAUAUUCACGGGUCAUCAGCACAAUUUUGAAAAGAACUUGCUGAGAUGCAAUUGGUCACCAGAUGGCCAGAAGGUGACAUCGGGCAGUGCAGACCGCAUGGUGUACGUUUGGGACACUACAUCUCGAAGAAUCUUGUACAAGGUAUGCACUCAUAUGAGUCACACUAGAUGUUAGAUCUGUGGUCUAGUUGCUUUUAGCUUUCAGUCUACUUAGUAUCAUUCAACCAACUUCAUUAUUUGUUCAUAUGCUUAUGAUCAGCACGGGCCUUUUCUUUUACCCACCUGCAGUUCAACAACCUUUUUGUUGCGUCUUAGAAUGAAGUCGAGCAAUUCUAAGAUGGUCAAAUGCUUAUGGAUCUUGUGUUGGCGUCUGGUUGCAGCUUCCUGGACAUUCAGGUUCCGUAAAUGAGGCCGUGUUUCAUCCAAAGGAACCUAUUAUUGGGUCAUGUGGUAGUGACAAGCAGAUCUAUUUAGGAGAAAUCGAUCCUACUGUUAGAUAGAGCAUUGGAACUUUGCCCCAUCGAGGAAAAUCCUGAGUCCUAAGUGUGGUCGCAGCAUCGUCCACGCCUUGUUGACUGGAGCAAAGUACGAACUUUGGACACCAUGCAAAAAAGUCCAAUUUGUGGUGUUAGCAACACUUCUAUGCAUCCCUCAGACUGGUCUAUGGCACUAGAAGGCUUUCCAUCAUCUGGAUACUAAGGCUGGAGCAAUCCAGUCCCUCCUAAAACUCUAUCGAGUUCCCUUUGAGAGCAUCUUUCUCUGAACAUGCGACAACAUGGUGGAGGAUGGGAUACGCCUGAUCUUGGGAAAAUGUACAAACUUAGCACUUGAAAACCAUCUCGCAUGUGUAAGAAACAGGUUUUUUGUGAACGUCGGGACUGAUUGGCUUCCAUGGGUUCAUGCCCUAAAGCUAUGUCCAUAUUAAUCUCCUUGAGCUGAUCAGCGCUUGUGUUUUUUAGUCUAAAGCCGUGCCUCUUGGAAGUGAGAUUGAGUGUAAUAAGCAUUUAAUAAAUCAAUGCUAUACCACGGUGCAUCAGACAAGUUUAAAUCCCUCUGGUCGCCCUUUUCCAUCAGGUUGCGUGCUUUGCUUUGUGUAGUAAUUUGUUCCAAUUCUGAUAAUCUCGAAUUUUACUUUUAAGUUUACUUGGUGUGCUCUGAUUUUAAGUCCGCUCAUCGUACUUAACGCUUACUAAUAAGGGUAUCUCUGAUUGGCAAGCCCUAGGUCAGUAUAUGCACCAUGACCAGUAGUGCCUUGAAAAUAAUACUCUGUCACGUCUCUGCAAUUUGCUAUCCUGUUGCCUCAAAUCACAGCUGCUUCGUCUGACUUCUACGUAUGAAGUGAGUAGAGUGUGGCAGAGUAAACGACAAACUUGUCCUACAAUGGGAGUUUUAACAGUUAGGUUUAGAUUUCUGGCCAGUAUAUAUAUAUAUAUAUAUAUAUAUAUAGAAAUAAAGGGUGGUCACAGUAAAUGUUUCCAAGGAGAUUGCAUUGCGUGAGUUGAGACAGGCGUCUCAAGUCAAAACUGAAGUGGGUCCUUCUGGAAGUUGUUUGAAUCUUCCUUCAAUUAAGAAUAAUCCUCUGAAAGUUUAGAACCCGUAAACACUGAAAUUUGCACAAUCAAGUGAUUGCAGAAACUUGGUACCUAAUAACAAACAAAGUACCAUCAUUGACAUUUCAAAAAGCAAGGUCUCAGCCGGGUAUCUAUUGUUGUGUUACUUCUUAUAACAAUGAUGCUGAAUGUACAAAUCACCAAUCAAUUUUGGUGUACCAAGCUGACCUGCACGCUCAGGCGUUUGAGUGUUUUUCUCUAGACGAUGAACAUGCAAAUUGUCUUUUUCUGCGAAUCCUACAUGCUUGGCUUAAGACAAAAUAUGAUGUCUGUCCACCAGAUUACAUCAAUAAAUGCAUGGUUGAAUGUUCAACUUCUGUGUUGGUCACGGCAACCUCGAGAUUUUAUUGGUUGCUCAUAUUCUAACAAUCUGUAUGUUUGGUUCCUAUUUAAAAAACAAAAACAAAACUAGUGGUUGUUGUUAACUAUACAUAAACGAAAUAUUUUGAAUACAGAUCAAUGACGCAGAGAUUUUGGGUCAAGAAUGGUUUGAAAUAUUUAAACGUUUUGUAUCGUUUCGGAAUGUCAACAUACUGGAUUCUCUGAUGAGCCCUACCAUCCUAAUCUGACACCUAAUACGGUGUCGAUUAUAGAGCACCAACUCACCAUCACAAAAUGUUGAGCUCUACAGCUCAAAAGGCAACAUUUCAACUAAGAGAGGUUCUUAUGACCUUGGUUUCUAGUUCAACUGUUUCAAAGACAACUCUUAGGGUUUACACAAUGCCAAUAGAUAACUGCACAACAACUCAAUCAAGGCUUUUACUGCGAGAUGAGAGGAUAGAUUCUUGUGACACUGCCUUGGAAUGUGUUAAGGUUGCGAAGAACAGACCAGCUGCGCAGCCUGCCAGGCACCCAUACUUAACAACAUCUGCAUUAGAAUUCAAUUCCGUCAAAGUACUGCCGUCACGACGCGAGGUACCGCGUUCGGUACAAUGUACAUCUCUCUCCCAGAUACUGACAACAAUGACACACCCCUUCCGGAAGAUAGUCAAGAUUUUGGGUAUUUAAUUUACCGAAAUUGGGUAUAGUUUAGAGCAGCUUGCUCGUAAUAGGCACAUCGAAUCGCUUAUCACACUAAAGACGAAACCAUGACAAACAAGAAGCAGGAGUCGAAAAGAAAAAGAAAAAACGAAACUCAAUAUAAUUAAAGCAAAAACAACACACACCGUAAACAAAGCAUUAUGUUUAAGGAGCAGCAAUUACGCUCCAUGACGACGAUGUACUCUUAAAAAUAAAAAUAAAACGCAGCGAGACAUGAAGAAUUAGGGCGUAGUUAGUACAAACUCAAAUCAAACCAAAUCAAAGGGCUGGAGUCAAAUUGUAGGACUAUACAGAAUUGAAUGCUAUAACAAAAGAAUAAGUAGGACUCCACAGCCCUGGCAAACUCAUUCUCCUCAUGGUAUGUACCCAUUGUUUUCAUUCGUACAUAAAAAGAAGAAGAAGUAACCACCCACCGGCGAUGCUUUUGCUUGCAUCAGAUCUGCCUGGUUUACGAGUUGGGAGGCUACGAAUCAGAUAAAUCAUACAGUUUCUGGAGUUACGAAGGCAAUGAAUGCAAAGUCUAGCUGAUAACCGCUACCGAGAUCUCUGAGCUCGGAUAAGUCUAUAUCUCUCACACCACAUUUGUCGCUUCGGUACCUCGCAGCUGUAGUUUUGAUCACCCAGUACGUGGGCAUGAUUCAGUGUACUAGUUCCCGAUCUCUCAGGCCCUGAGAUUUGCUGCUCCGUACCUCUAUAACCAGGCAAACGGGAGGGCCACAGGCCCGCAAUAAGCUAGGAGAUCAGUGGCUUACACACACCCCAUUAUAUACACGAUUUCGACGAUAAUUGCUUGCAUGUAUUCCAAGAGAUGGAAUUGAGGAGUUGGUUUGCGAUUGUGGAAUGUUGGGGCUGUGGGUGUUGAGUUUAUUCAUCACCCACCUGCUGACCCCUUCUCGCAGACUCAUGCCUGCUUCAUGGCAGUCUCCAGAAUUGUGUCCUUCAAUAUAGGUGUACAUUAUUAAAUAUGCAUGGAAAUUUUAAAAAACGUGCUGCCGUUAACGAUGAGUCUGUUAGCGUCGCUCAUGUCUCGUUUUGGAAGUUAGAUAAGCGGCUGCGGUGUACUUCCAUAAUUGUACUUCGACAGAACUUGAAUUCCAAAAGUUACCCUCUCUGAAAACCUGCAGCAGUUAUUACUUUUUCAGUUUUUCAUUUGUUUUAACCUACCCGUUCCAAGCGUCGUCACUUCUAUGUAAAUCUUUAUAGACCAACUUGCAUUCCAUAAGCGUUGACGUGUACAUUAUGUGCCGCAUGAACGUGAUUCGGUCCAAACCAAAACAUACGAAUUCCCAACUUCGUGGUGAUUGUGAAUUUUCUAUUUUCAUACAUAAUUCAAUAGCUUCUAUCUGCAACAUUUUAAGUUAAAAAGGCUGGAAUAAUUGAGUAAGAAAAAUGUUAUUUUAUUAACUUUUUACUUCGAAUGAGACAUUCUCAGCCGCUUUUGAAUAAUACGAAAGACUACUAAUCGUGGAAGUCGCUGUAGUUCAUUGAUGCAAUUGCAUGAAGAUUACUAAGAAUCUUACAGCGACCUCCCAUUCAAAUAUGGAGAUUACAACUUUGUGUGAAAACACGUCAAUAAGCUACAAUCACUCUCUUGUGCAGGGAACAAAGUUAUAUUUCACACGAUAUAUCAACCGUGAUCUUAGAGCAGAACGAAGUUCUCCGUGUUGUCGAAGACGGCUCUUCUUAAAAUAGAUCGAUCUACGUGCAAGGAACUCAGAGUUAUUGAGCAUUGAUGAUGCAUGUACGCAGUGCAAUGAGCACCAGCUCAAUUAUAAUUGAUCUAAUGCUGUCUCACUCCCACGUUUCUAAAAGAAGGCAUCAGACUAGCAUCUCAAAUUUGCAAGGGUUCCACUCAGCAUUAUGAUCUUCUACUACCACUGAUCCACGGAGGUUUCAGAUAUUCAUACAACAAGAGGUAAUACGCACAUAAAAAACACGAAUUCAGACAGACUUUGAUCUCUCUUUCUGUGAAAAUGAAACAACAAUUUAUUUCAACAGAAUUUGAACUGUAAUUCAAACUGUUGCAUUGAACAUAGACGCUGUAGUUCAAAUUUAUUCUAUCAAACCAUGCUUCGGGGAUUAGGAUCGAUACGAUGUCAUACAAAAACAACGACGGCAAUCGUUUUCUGAAAAAAUAAGCUAAUCUGGCGCCUCUUCAUAAAUCAUGUACUCUUAACCAAGCUGCUAGACUUCGCUUGUCUUGGCUAGACAUAAGUGACUGGUCAGCACAAAAACUGAGCAUGGGGCUGUCGACACCGCGAGUUGCGAAUGCACUUGAAGGUCCAAUUUUACCAGAGAGCUCAAGAGUGAUAGCAGAGAAGGCCUGAAGAUUUAGGCGUACCUCUACGUAGUCCUUGUGAGGCUUAUGAUGUGUUUCUAGAAUCGUCCUCCUGCAAUAAUGCAUCUGUAACAAGUAAAGCUUGUGCCGAUCAUAAUCGAACGAUCCAUAAGGUUUUACUUGCUGCGUCCAGCCUUGGGGCCAGCGUUGUAACCGAAGGGUACACGCCGGUCCGUCUCCCAGCAUAACUCCGGCCCCGCAACGAAAGCAGGUGUGUACGCCUACAAUCGACGCAAUCGAAAUGGCGUGAGCAGAUAAUCCAGAGGUCGAAUCAGUGUCGUUCCAACUGAGAGCAGGAAUGGCAUAACAUGAAUGAUGAAUCAAAAUGGCUACUACCUCCAGCUUAUCAAGUAGCUCACUCGAAGUGUUCGCGGACAUGACGAUGUUGCGUGCGGAAUUGUCGAAGAACUCCUCUUCCAGCUGUUUGUCGAAGAAUGUCAGCAACGUGUCGUAGAACCCAUCCACAUUCAGAAGCCCCACCUGCAGCAUUUGCCCAAUUCGAGUUAUAUUAAACUCACAACGUCCACGGAGGAGGAUUUAGAAAGAGGAAUGAAAUAAUGUGUUUAUGGAAAUACCGGCUUCAGAUGAAUGCCGAGCUGGUUCCAAGUGAUCACUUCCACAAGCUCUUCUAAAGUUCCAUAACCACCUGCACUAAAUCCAGAAUUCCAAAUCUGAGAAUUACUCUACUCUCUCAUACUUCUGCAAUUUGUAUGGGUUCUAGCUGGGAAGUUUGUCAUCUGAUCUUUACAGGAUAACGUUAACUUUGACCAAACUUUAGGAAAUGGUUUUGGUUCUAAAUUACAGGUUAGUUCCACGUGGUGAUCCCAGUGCAUUCAUUUUACUUGGGAACCAACCGAGAUCUCAAGACAAUUCAUGCGAAUGCUCUCCAAACUCGAUCGAAUCCGAAUUAGCAUUGCACUGUGCUUACCCGGAAGUGCGAUGAAAGCAUCUGCUUGACGCGCCAUUUCAGCUUUCCUUUGGUGCAUGUCCCCCACUACGAUCAGCUCUCCCACUGUACUGCCCGUAAUCUGCAAGUUUUUCGUGGAGCAGAAGUUUGACAUGAACUAAAAAUUUUGCGAAAAAAUAAGCAAGUUCUCAGAUAAGAUCGUUUGAACGCAGUCACAACACCACGCAACGUCACUGAAACUGUACUCACUUCGCCGCCAGGAUUCACUUCUCGAGGAAUAGUCAUGAAAUCGACGGAUAAAUCCAUCCAUUUCGUGGCAAACUGAUCAUGCACGCCUUUCUUAACCAAAUGAAACGUUCUAAGUAACAGAUUGAAAAAAAUUGCAGCACCUACAAAUGUCAAUUGACUUUGCUGCCUGUGAACAUAACCAUACCUCUUUGCCAAGGAGUGCUUUGGGAAUCACGCUGCCAAGCAAGGAUUACCCACGUCAGUCUCCGCCAAGCUUUCCAAGUGGUGCAGUGCUAUGACAGACUCUACAAUCGACAUCUAACUCAAUGCUGUAUCUUGUCAUGCGCAGGAAUUAUGAUGAACUCUUCAUCGCUGAAUCCCAGGUCAAUUCACUCAGUUGGAAGAAGAUAAAGGGGUAUAGAAUGGCCGUUAAGAUUGAGGAUUCAACGACAUACCCCACAACAUUCCCCCCACCAGAAUCGACUGUCUGCGCCACUUGGCCCAUGAGACCUAUACUUCCACCGCCGUAUACCAAGUCAAUCUCCCGCUUCACCUGCACCAGCGAACGCUCACCAAGUGAACAAGAUUCGACCCGAGUCAGAAUCCAAUAAGUCUGCGUGCGAUGAAGGAAACUGAGAGGAAGGGGGAUUUGUGAUCCUCAGGGUGCAAAUUGAUGGAGAGCAGGAGCGCUAACGGGAUUAGGUCAAAAGAGUGAAAAUUUUGUUGAAGAGUUGUAUGCAGAAGUCAUAUUCACUGACCAAUUCUCGGCCCAGACUAAGCGCUUCGUUGGUAAAGACAUCUUUUCUACCGCUGCUGCUGCCGCAGAACACGCAUAUCCUUCUGAACCGUUUCGCUGUGGAAGCAUCAUUGUCGCUGGUCCCCAGCUGAUCCUCCAUCCCUGUUUUCUGCGGCGGAGGGUUCUUCCCAAGAGCUGCUGCGCUUCAGCCGAGCUCGACACCCUACAGCAAGAUCGAAAGGAAAACACCACAAUUGUGUGCCGUGUCCACGCGGCUAGAGUUUGAUCCAGACACCAAUUCCCCCAAUGAGCGUCAAUAACGACUUCUCGCUUCUGUAGCUCUGCAAGAUCCACAUAAAUACGAAUCAGGAACAACAUUGCGACUCAUAUCAGCAGAACAGUCCAAACGGCGCAGGCGUUGUUUCAGAAAAAGACAUCAUUGGGUGAAAGCGGCAAAAGAAAAGGGUACAUUCGCAAGGGGGUUAAGCUAAAGAACACGAGCACAUCAAAAAGGUAAAGAGGAUCAACACAAGCGGAAGCGGAAGGAUUGAAACCCCCAAAGUUGUAACGGCGCCGCGACAAACCAGUGCCGCCCAACCAGAAAACCGAAGAUUCGCAACCCGCCCAACCAGAAAACCGAACAAGUGGCGCUGACGGUUGAAUGAAGCAUGAGGCUGCUGAUGAAUGCUUACAUGAAGUGUGAGAUCGGGAAGGGGAUCGAUAGGCUUUAGAUCUCGACGUGCGAGGACGACGACAAUCGCGAGAGAUCGGGUUCUGCAUGCUGGAGCUCAAGCACCGAAGGGACCCGCUUUGUCUCCCCCCGCCGCAUGCAAGCAUUUAUGCUCUCUCUCCGUCCUCUGGACGAAGUCGGCGUCCGCGAGACGGUGACCAGAGGACGACGCGCAUUGUGGUUCGUUCCUUAGCGUCCCCCCAAACAUCGAUUCUACGUAGAAUUUGAAGCAUCUGGCCCCCUUGGUCUUGGUCUAUUCCCUUAUUAGCCAUUCCCCAUGAUAAAUUUACUUUUACAAUUUUAAAAUGAAUACAAUAAAAUUGUGCAUGCGUUUCUGUUGAAAAUAGAUCAGACUGUUACAUAAUAGAUUAGCAUUUGUACUGAAAAACAAAAUAUGUUUUUUGAUGAUUUUAUUUAUUUAUUUGUUUUUAAAUAAAGAUUUCUUUUUUUCAGAAGGUGUAAAUUAAUUUUUAUUUUAUUUUAUUUUAUUUUAUUGUACUUUUUUCACAUGAAUUUACAUUGUAUUGUGAUUAUGUUGCAUUAAACAUGAAGCAUAUGAGUAUUUUUCCAAAUGUUUUCUUCUUGUUUUGAGUGUCAUUUGCAUCUUUUAGUUCUUGAAAUUUGAUGGAUAGGCUUAUUGUGCCUGAGUAUUUUUGUAUCAUUUGUAAUGUGAUUUUAUGGUGAAAAUAUAUAAUAUGGAUGCAAUGAUAUCUGAUGGAUCCGUUUAUUUUUUGUGAUUUAUGUGAGAUGUGAUUCCUAAAGGUGGGUACAUUAAAUUUUUUUGUAGAUUUUUUUUAAUUUUUUAUUUGGAAUAUUCUUAGUAUUACCUGAUAAAGUACUUCUUUAACACAAGUGUUACUUUACCAAGUUUUCCUGCAAACAAAAGCUCUUUCCAUACCAUGACCACUCAUCAAAUAUCUUCUACAUGCUUUAAAAACAAAUGCUUCCAAAGUCACAAAACUCACCAUAUCUACAGAAGCUAAUCAAUUUACAUAUCCAAUAGGGGUUUAUAUUUAUAUUGAAAUACAAAAUUUAGCAAGGAAUUCAAAAAAAAAAAAAAAAAAAAAAAAAAAAAUGGUUUUAAAAUGUAGACUUUGUAAUGAAAAGUGAAGUCUUUAAAUACUUUUGAGCACGUCGUUUAAAGAACCAUUGUAUUUUAAAGUCAAGAUAAAGAUUUGAAUUAAAAAAACACAAAUUGAAGCAUAUAUAUGUAUGUAUGUAUGUAUGUAUAUAUAUAUAUAUAUAUAUAUAUAUAUAUGUGUGUGUGUGUGUGUGUGUACACGUGUCUAUAUAUAUGUUCUUUUUCUUGGUUUUGUCUCAUGUUGUGGAGUUGCUAUGGCAUAUCCACCGCAACCACAAUUCCAUGUUUGCAAUCAUGUACUACACAUUGAACUCCACCAGUCCUUUGGAAGUCAUUGCAACGUAGAUGUGUUUUUCUUUUAAACUCUUUGUUUCUAAGAGGCAAAACUAGCUGAAUCAUGACAGCACCCACGCAUAGCCUAUUCUAAAAAUCCUAUUCUGGUUCUGCUCUACUUUAGCACUGUAACUGGCUGAUGAGCCUGGCAUCUACUGCUUCCUUUUACUCUCUGUGGAAGCUAAGAAAACGAUGCUCUGCAACAAAAUUUCGGCCGCGGAAGGAACAAUGUCCACAAGGAAAAGGGCAAAAGGAGAAAGGGAAAGAAGCUUGCUACCACAUGGGUCAUAGAGCUGCACUGGAAACAGCAGGCUCAUAUACGAGGCUUUUUGCAUCUUCCCAUCGAAGCUUGGGAGCACUCAGAUCUCGAACCAACGUGUAGGCCUGCACGUUAACGACGCAAAUUUGUUUUAAAAUAAUAAUUAAUAACAACCUAAUACACUAUCACAUGCAGUUGAUGUGGGAUUUGAGCAAUGAACAGGUGACCAGUCGCAUAAUACCUCCAGCUUGUCGAGAAGCUCACUCGGUGUUCGUGCGGACACCACUAUGCUGCGAGCUGAAAACUGGAGGAAGCCCUCCUCCAGAGCCUUGUCGAAAAGUGUUAACAGAGGGUUGUAAUACCCGUCGACGUUGAGCAGGCCGACCUGAAUGACAAGCACAGAAUCAGACACCAGAACAUGUAAGAGUAUUAAACUUGCACUACUGUCGUGUGAGAUCUGAGAUCUGAAUUUUGAGGAGACUGGGUUAUGCCUCAACCAGGUUUUGUGUUUUCAUGAGUUGGGGAGUGCAAGCGUCAAACAACUCACUGGCUUCUCGUGAAUGCCGAGCUGGGACCAGGUGAUGACCUCGAGUAACUCCUCGAGUGUGCCAUAACCGCCUGCACACGGACUUGGUUCUAUCAGUGAAUGACAUUUGACGUUCUAUGUUGAAGUGUUACACUGAAGUUCUUGAUAAGUUGAAUGCAAGAGAGGAAUAUUGGCGUGACCUGGGAGAGCUAUGAAGGCAUCCGCUUCUCGAACCAUUUCCGCUUUCCGUUGGUGCAUGUCACUCACUGCCACAAGCUUCCCCACUGUUUGCCCCGAAAUCUGCAUACGUAUGAAUCAUAAAUGAGAGUUUUCUCCCGUUAAUUGUGGUAGUUUUAAAGCUGUUCUCUACACGUGGAGUUUCUGCGAUUUCCAGGAUGUUUUUGCAGAGAUAGUCCGCGACUGAACGCUCACUUUGCAGGAAGGACGAAAUAGGGCUAAAACCCUUGUAAAAUAUGGUUAGAAAGUGCGGACCUCUUGGCCGAUCAAAGCUUUGGGUAUCACACUGCCAACCAUCCAAUUACAGCCAUACCCCAUAGCAAUGCAUUCCCGUCAAUACCUUCAAAGCAACCAUGGUGCCCAGAGAAAUCCAGAUUUAGCAAGUUCCAAUUGCGAUCAAUCAACAACUAGGUCUUCAAUUAAUCAUCAAAGCAUAAGAGAAAGCCUUUCAGUAAACCCUACCGACCUCCCUAAGCGUGAACAUUCUCCUAAUAUCGAUAAGAAAUGUGGAUUCUGCCGUGUAUCCAAUCUAGGAAAAACCUUCGCAGGUAAGCCUCGAGUGGGAAGAUGCAUGGGGAUUGAAAGCCGUGCUAUCCGACGUCGGGAGCAGACACAUGUCUUCCCAAGCUAAUCACCAUCAUAGAAAUAAGUGAGCAGAAUAGCACUGACGCCCUACUUUUCUCUAGUCAAGGCCAGCAAUCGAAUUUUGAGAUGUCGCUUGACCACUGUGUAGGGUGUAAAGUAAUGAGGUGAUUGUGUGUACCCUAUAACAUGACCACCUCCGUCGUGCACAGUUUGCGCCACUUUACCCAUUAAUCCAUUGCCACCUCCACCAUACACCAAGUCUAUUUUCCUCCUCACCUGCACAAGAUCACCGGAAAACAUUCGUGAUGAGUUGGAUUUAUGGAUGAAGGGGUGAAGCUUCGUCGCCCUAAGGUUUCCUAUAAUUGCUUUGAUGACUUUGGGAAGGUCCGUUUGUAUGAUCAUCCAAAUCCUGCAGCUUGCAAAUUACAGCUGUCUGUGCUACUGGAGUGAUUUGCCGAUACACAGCAGAGGAUUUAAUGUUCAAAAGAUGAUUGACAGCAAUGGAUGAGCUGCGCUGGUAGUGUAACGGAGAGGCUACUAUGUGAAGCAGCCCCUGCAAAAGCUUAGACCCCAGCUGCGGCACUUGAUCAUCCAUCAGUACCCCUGUCAGGCUGCACUGACCGUGUGCCCUCAGUAAUCUGAAACUCCCAUCAUUCCAAUGUGUGGAAUUCAUGCUCUUCACGGCCAGUGGCUCAUGUAUUGGAUCGUAUUUUACGUACGACUCACGGCCUCUCUCUGAAUGAGAAGCGCAGACACAUAAGAACAUACAGCCAGCGGGGAGGCCGUGUCAGUCGGUGAGAGCACGUCCUCACCUAAAUUUCGUGAAACACACAAUGGAAAGUUCAAGGUGGUAGAGGGAGAAGCUGGAGACUGAGAAGUUCUAACCGACCAAUUCUCGGCCCAGGCUAGACGCAACGUCGCUGAAGAUGUCUUUCUUGCCGCGGCUGCUCCCACAGUAGACGCAAAUCCUCUUGAAGCUUCGACGCGAGGAGAUUGCCGCUGGCAAUUCCUCGAGGCCGCCGUCGCGACGAGAGCUCACGCCCGGAAGAAUGCGAGGCUCCACCUCGGACUGCGACGACAGCUCUUGCCUCCCCAUCGAUUCUCGGCUAGGCCUCGAGCUCGACUCGCCCGUUUGCUGCUGCACCUUCAUGAGCGCACUCGACCCUCCCCGAGACGCGCUGCAGUCAACUUGCAACUCACCCAACUCCGACGUUCUGUGUGAAUUCCACCCGUCCGUGCCGGGCUGUGGGCGUGUAGUCACUGAGAGACGAUCAGCAGCGUGCGCAGCAAUACACGCCUGGGGACGAGGGGCUCAGCGACGAUGGAUGUAUCCAGGGUGGCUGAUGGACCGUGGGGGCAACGAGCAUGUGCAUGGACGAUGCCGCGCACGACAUGAGAGAGAAGAGGACGAGGCUUAGAAGGAGGAGAGUGGGAGAGAGGGAGAGAGGAGGGAAGCAGUGCACCCUGUCAAGUAAAGGAAAGGAAACAGCGCGCCUCAUCCGCAAUCUGGCAACUGAUUCGCAACUGCUGGGAGCAGCGCCUGGCGCGUCCUGGCUCGGUGGGGUGGGGUGGGAUGAUGGGGCGUAACGCGCUCCCUCGCGCCCCUCGCAGCGCCACACGCCGCGUUUGUUGCGUGUCGAGCUCGUCCCCCUGAGGCCGCUGACGCGCGCUCGCGUGACGCCACUCGCGUUCUCGAAUCUUCUUUCAGUCCGAAGAGUCCUCUUCUUAUUUGGGCUUUGAUAAUCUCAUCAAUGGGACACGUUUGUGAAUAAUUUUGGGUGUUUUGCAAGUUGGUUUUGUCAUUAGACAUUACGUCUCAAUCAUAUAACUUGAUGAGGUAAUUUUUGUAACAAAAACUUAUCAAUACUUUGUGUGUUCCUCCUUUCUUAUUUAAAAAAUAAUAUAAAAAUAAAAUAAAAUAAAUGCAAAAGUUUUGGUUUUUUAAUUAUAUUUUUUUUGUGAAGUUUAAGUUUUGAAGUGAUUUCCUUAUAGGAUAAUUAAAAUUUUGAUUGAAUAUAAUUCAGCAAGAUUAAAAGAAAUAGUAGAUUCAAUCCAUGAUCAUUGAUGCGUUUAAAUGUAAGUUCAAUGUAUAAUGCUUUUGAACAAUUAUUUUAGUGUGUUUUAUUUUUUAUUGUUUUGAUGGUCACUAUCAUGUGUAUAUAUAUAGAUUAAUUUUUUUUACAGAUUUAAUUAUAGAAAAUAUAUGUUACAAACAAAACACAAUGCAUGGUAGUUAAGGUUAAAAUUUCAACAACUACAAAGAAUUUUCAAAAACAUUUGCUUAAAAUUAUUGUAUUUACUUGAAAAAAAAAGGAAUUACAAAUAAAUAUUUGAAAAUUCUAAUUAAAUUAAUGAGAGUAGCAAAUAAAUUACCUAUUUUUUAUAUUGAAAUAUUUUUCUUUGCAUCUCCUCUACAAUUUUGCAACUAAAUAUUAUAUCUAAAUAGGAUUUUUUUUCAUAUCCAAAUAUUAAGUUUUAAAUGAAUAAUUUUACAGAAAAAUAAUUUUAAAAAUUAAAAUUUUAACUUCUUUAUGUAAAAUUAAUUAAAAUCAAAUAAAUAAAUAAAAUUUUAAUAAAUUUUAAUGUAUGUUAAGGAUUUCUCCACUUGAAAACAAUCAAAUCAUGAUUUUUGUUAUAAGAUCAACAUCAAUUAGUUUAACAUAAACAUUAUUACAACGUACCAUGAAUAUUCUAUGAUACCAUCACAUCAGAUACUUUUUAAAAAACACCUUAUUGUUAAUACUACAAUAUAUUCAUGAAUGUAUUUUUUUAAAUGUAUUAAUGUCAUGUCACAGAUAGCAUUAGAUUCUAUGGUCCAAAAAAAGAUACACAAAUAAAAAAUCUGCACACAAAUUUUGUGAUUUUAAUAUUUUCAGUAGUACAUGUGUUAGCUUUCAAAACUACAACAAUCUAAUUAUCAACUUCUACCCAAAACCGUGUACUUGUGAUUGGUUGAAUUAACAUUUUUGUUUGAAUUUACUGAAAUGGUACAUCAUGCCAUGAUGACUUUCGUGUAACGUUUUACAAGGUGCUUUUCAAACUAAUGAAAUCAGUAAAAAAAUAAAAAAACUUUUGAUGAUAAAUCAAGUGUAAGAAAAUUUAUCAAAAGGAUGAAAAAUAGCAAUAUUUUUUUGAUAUCAUAACUUUGAAGAUACAAGUUUCUUGGGCAAACGAAAAUCAAUUUUUUUAUUUUACUACUUAUAUUUUUAAUUUGGAUUUUGAAACAUAAUUUUAUAUAAAUAUUAAAAAUCAAUAUCACAAUUAAUUCUUAUUAUUUUUCUUAUUAUAUAUUUUAAAAAUUAGGAUCUAAUUAUCAUCAAAUAAAAUCAGUUAAAAUUUAACAAUAGUAUAUGUAAAUAUGCAUAUCAAUCUUAUAUAUAAAAUUAAGAAUAUAUAAAAAAUUGAUAUAUACAUUUUUUUGAAAAUCUAUACCUAUCAAAAUAACUAAAAAUUAAAACUAAUUUAAGGUUAGAUUUUAAAUUAUUUGAAUUCAUAAAAUAUGUUUAUAAAAUUUUCUAACAGAUUAAAAAAAUAUGAAAAUGAAAUUAUUUUUAUGAAAGACUUAAAAAAUAAAAAUAUUUUUAUUUAAAUAAAUUAUGUUUUUUUUAUUUUCAUUGAUUUAUUUAAGAUCUAGUAUGUACUUUUAUUUUUAUCUAAAAUUCUACAAUAUUCAUAUUAUUUCAAAAACUUACAUAUUCUUAAUAAUAUAUCUAGUUAAGAUUUAUUUAUGAUAUUAAUAUUUAAGAUAUCAAUAAUAAAUUUAAUAUAAUUUUCUAACAAACUCACAUUUUUAAAUUUUGAAUCUAUUUUAAGAUUAUUUUAAAAAUAGUACUUAAUUUACAUAGAAUUUAUUUAUAGAUAUCUUUUUAAAAUUCUAUAUUGUAUUUUAAAUUAUUUUUAAAAUAUGUAUUAUGUGUUAUUUUGAAUUUUAAUUAUUAGACCAUAGUAGCAAAGGUUUCUAUAAAAUAAUUCUCAAGCUUGACCUUUAAAUAAAAACCAUCUAAAAAAAAUUCAUUUGUAAGGAAUUAAGGUUGGGCAAAAGAUCCUUUAUCUUGUCUAUUUGUCUAUUAGUUUAGAAGAAAUUGCUAGAGUGUUGAAAAAACAAAUCUAAAAUCACAUGUAAAGAAAAACAAACAUAGACUAGAGCUAUUUUUCUAAGAUUUAGAAAAACACAUACAUGCAAUUGUGGCUCUACAAAUUCUAACAUCUAGAAUUGAUAAAAUCUUCAAAUAUUGUCUAUAAAGUAUCCUAGCUCCUACCAAAUAGGGCGUAUACCAAGCUAUGGGAGGUAUUGCCUCUUAUUCCCUCCUAUCAGAAAGGGGCUAAACAAAUAUCAUUGUAUCACUUUAGAACUUCUAAAGAAACAUAUUAAAUUGCAUGGCAAGAAAAUCUACUAUGUUACACAUUAAUUUUUAAAAAAUACAAGAUGAUUUUAUAAUAAUAUCUAUUUUGUCUAUGUAAAAUAUAAUUUAAUAUUAAUAUGAUAUAUCACACUUUGAUAUGUUUUCUUCUAUUUAGAUUAUUUUACGUUUAAUAAGUUUAAUCUAAGAUUUUUUAAUAUUUUAUAUUAAGGUUUAUGAACACCAACCUCUAUUCUACAAAUAUUAGAUGUAAUUUGAUUAUAUUUUUCUUUGUAUACCUUCUACAAGUUAAGCAUGAUUAUUUAAUAAACUCUUGUAGUUUAAAAUUUUUUGGGCUUACAAUGGCAUAUUAUAAGAAGGCUAAAAUUUAAUAGUGCUUUAGGAAAUUUGACUUAGAAUAAAAAUUUAAAAUAUUUGAAGAAAUAUCAUUUCUUUUAGUAUUUAUUUUAGUAAAAUGUAAGAUAUUUUUGAAUACUAUAGUACUAAAAAAAUUUAACACUAGAUUUUUAAUUCUUUUUUAAACCAUUCUACCUAAUAUAAAUAAUUAUCUUUAGUAUACUUGAAUCAAAUUUUCUUUGAUAUAAUUCUUUUAAAAUAAUAACUUAUUUUUAAUUAUAAAUUUAUUUUUUAUAAUAUAAGAAUUUUAAAUUCUUUUACUUUGAAUUGUUUUAAGAAAAACUAUGUUAUCUCAAAAACAAUUCAUUUUCAAAGAUUUUUCUAUUUUAUUAUUAUUUAUUAAUUUAUACUUAAUUCUUAUUUGAAAUGUAAGAAUGUCUUUAACUUCAUUGUCCAACUAUUAAUAAUUUUGUAAUAUUUACCACUGGAAAUCAGUCUUGAAUUUAAAUUCUUAUUAAGCAAUUUCAUGCUUGCAUGUUGGAAGAAUUAAUAUUGGAAGCAUGAAAUUGUAUGCAAAUUUAUAUAUAUAUAUAUAUAUAUAUAUACAUAUACAUACAUACUUACAUAUAUAUACAUAUACAUACAUAUGUAUGUAUGUACAUAUAUAUAUAUGUAUGUAUGUAUAUGUAUAUAUAUGUAUGUAUGUAUGUAUAUGUAUAUAUAUAUACAUAUAUACAUACAUACAUAUAUACAUACUGGUGGAAACCCAUGUUGUAUGAAAUUUUUUGUGUGUGUAUAUAUAUAUAUAUAAAUAUACAUGUGUAUAUAAAGACAGGAUUACACAUUGUUGAAUAGAAAAAUUUUUAUUGUAAAUUAACUAAUUUAGUCUUAAAAUUAAUUUGUGAUUAGUUAAUUUGUAAAUAGAACAAAUUUAGUCUUAAAAUUAACUUCAUUAUUUAUUUACAAUGAGAGCGAUGGCCCACAAAUGAUAAGAAUUCAUCCAUACAUGGAUGAAAAAGCCGCAUUCGUUGUUCCCUCUCCAUAUAAACACAAACAGAAUGGGGAACGCGUGUUCCCGUCGCUUCCUUCCGCCUGGGGGGCCCCCACUCGACCACACCCGAGCUCGGGAGCACAUUGCCACACGCCCCCCGAGCUCGGGUGGAGGCUACCUACCUACCUACCGCGUAGGGCGGCAGUUCAGACGCUGAGCUCGGGUUGAGAGAGGCCUGCAGGCCUGUCCCCACUCGGGGACUCGGUGAAUACGGUUAGUUGGAAACCGCCAAGUCCAGGCGGCGGUGACAACACACAACGCCAGUGCAUCUUCUUAAGUGAUCGAACAACGCUGCGGUUCUUGCAGCGAUCCCCGUAACCACUUACUUACCGUCAUCUCCCCAUUUUCUUCCGUCACUAGAUAGUCUAGUAAGUAAGUAGUCCUGCUUCUGUUCGGUUCUGCUUAUAUCCUUCCCCCCAGGGGACCUUACAUUUGUUGAGGUGCAGGCGGCAUUGGAUCAUUCAUUGUGCGAGGUGAUGCUACACAAGCUGAUGAUGAUGAUGAUGCGACGCUGGUUUGGGCACUAUGGGUAGACUGCAGUGUUGGAGGUGCUUCUUUGUCUUUGGCUGAGAAUGGGCUUUGGUUUUUGAUGCGCAGCCGUGAGUGAGUGAGCCCGGGACUCGUUGAAAACGAAAGGUAGGGUGGGCUUUUCUCAGAUCCGUCACCUCGACAUUCUACUUCGUUGUAGACUACGAUGCGAGGGGUUGCGAGUUUAUGAACACCUUUUCUGUGUGUAUGGUUUGUGCGUAGAGAAACUGUCAUGGAUGCAGUCAGUAUGACGAGGGUGCGUGUGUUGUUUGUGCUCUCUCUCCUUGGCGGAGCUUUCGCCGAUCUCGCCUCGCAAGGUAUGUGAAAUUCGUUUUCCUCUGUCUAAUUCGUUAACUUCCUGCAACGUUUUCGAAGAGUGCAGUUGUGGGAACUAGAUGGCUCUUGUGUAAGGUUUGUUGUGGGUUGGGGGCGUGCAGAGGGUGCGCUUUUGUCUUUCAAGAAUGCUUUAGAGAAUCCAACGGCGUUGAGCUCGUGGAACCAGCAGCUGACCGACGCUUGCUCUGGCAUAUGGCGAGGGGUGGAGUGCGACGACGCGAAAGCUUCCAUCACCAACUUGUAAGCUAAUUUCAACUGUAUAUGAGUCCCGGAUCACGCAGAUUAUCGGUCAUGUAUGUGAUAACUGUCUGACAUUCAAAGGACUUACAUCGGAGGUCGACUUUGUUUUGGUUACCAAUACAGGACGCUGGAAGGUGGCGAUUUCACUGGAGAAAUUCCUGUAAGCAUUCUGCUAUCGAAAAGUUUUAAGAUUUGAUGAUGUUAAUGAAUUACUGAGGUCUACGUUGUGGAGACUGAUGAACUUCGGUGAAAUAUGAGCAGAAUGAUAUCAAUCGAAUGAAGUUCUUGAGUUCAUUGACCAUCCGGAAUACUGCUUUCCUGGGUGCCAUUCCCCAAGCAAUAGCCGACCUUCGCAACCUGAAAACCCUGUGAGCUCAUUCAGAACAUUGAAGACGUCUCAUCAUUCUCAUAUCUGAAAACUUUGAUUCGUAGCAUCUGGUUACGAUUGUCAGGGGAACUGAUUGAGGUGUGCAUCUCCUUUCAGAAUCGUUGCAAACAACCCGCAGCUGAACGGUACUUUUCCGACGUGGGUGAUGAGCCUCAAGAACCUUGAGCAGCUGUGAGUUUCUCCGCACUUUCAUCCGCACUGUCGAUAGUUCGGCGAUUCAUCAACUGCUUGAUUUGUGAUCUAAAAGAUGAAUGCUGUGGUAAUUCUGUAGGAGCUUGGCGGGGAACAAUUUAACGGGCUCUAUAAUCGGUUGUAACAACACAACACAGGCCAAGUACGCGUUCUGAACACCCCACCAAUUAAUUUUAGACUCCACUUUCGCCAAUUGAAGAAAAUGCUCCAUAUGCUUUAAAUGUUUGAUGUGAACUUGCUGGCAUGCGAUUGAUUGCGGUGCUCGGUUGGUGUGUGGGUAGAAACUUCUCGGUACCGGUUGCAGGUGGAGUCACGGUCGAAGUACCGUCGCCUUACACCGAUCUAGUGAAUGUAACGCUUCCGAAUGUGCCGGUGCUGAUGUUCAGGCCGCAGAAUGUCACUUUGCCCACUGUGGCCAUCCCCAUUCUGAUGUUCAACACACUUCCGAAUGUUUCUGCACCGUAAGAGUUUUCCAUCUUAUCUCCCUCGAUUUCACAAGUCGUCUCAAGCACUGAAUUGAAGUUCGGUUUCACCAUUUUUCGUCUAGCAAUGUGGAUUUAAACAUAGUGUGAAAUGGUUGUGGCAUGAUGAUGCAUCGGGAGCAGAAACCUGACGGAUGUCACGAUCACGAGUCCUCUGUAAGAUGUCGACGACUCUUACCCCACGAUUCUGUCGGUCUGCUCAUGGAGCUCUAAUACCGAGCCUUCCUGAUUCAAUUGUUGCGAUUGAUGUCGUGAUUGAACACAUAGUUUUAUUUUGUUUUGUGGAAAAGACAUCACAUCAGCUCUUCGAAGUGAAGGAGAGUGGUUCCUAAGUUCCUCUUGUUAAUGCAAUUGGUGGAUUUCUGUUAAGCAGGGUAUUCAUGUGUCCUAACGUCUCCAUCCCAUCUCCUUCAAACAUGUACGGUAUUCUUCCACUGUGUUCUUUCAGCUUGGCCGCAUGCUCAUCUAUCCUGUACCCAUGCAUCGUGAGAAUACUGCAUUACUGAAAAUCCUUAUGUGGCACUUCGUACUGCAGAACCUUGCAUACUUCAAACUGGACUAUUCAACCCACGUUGCAGCCGCUGUAAGCGUCAUCUCUAUCCUUCGCGAUUAUUGCUAUUACAUGCUGAAAGAUAUGCUUGUAAUUGACAAUGUCACUCAAAUUUUGGGUUGUGAACUGCUUGCAGCAACUGGACGCUAGAUUUCCCGAACCUUUCGCCCCCGUAAGUUACAUGCACAUUUUUAAAGUUUCAAGCCGCAUCUUUAAAGUUUGCACAAACUGAAUUUCGAUCACUACCGGCAGAACUUUGCUGAUUUUAUCAAUUGGUUGCACUUAUGAGGAACUGGACAUACAUGAGUUGGUGUCGCAGGAUAGCCCGUGUGAGGAAUUUUACGUGGCCAACUCUGCCCGCGUCGUAAGCCCUCGGAUUACUACAUCCCUCUUCUUAUAGAGCAAUUUUCCGUUUUAAUAAUUUCCCACACAACAGAAAAAUGUCAUGGAGACAGAGUUCGCACAGAUCUUGGUGGUGCAACUCGAAUAGCUUAAAUCGACGCUUGUCUUCGAGGCAGCCUAUUUCUCUGCAUUAAACAUGUUCAUUAUUCCUCAAAGGCAUGUAAUUGUUAAUUGAUCCAACGUUAUUAUGCUCCUUGGCGCAGGAACAAGUCAAACUUCACACAGCCAUGGUAAUUAGCCUCUGACUUGACACAUCUAUUCUCUAAACUGCAAAUACGUCGAAGAGUUGAAACUUGCCCAUCGAGGCAUAAUCUCUACUCCUGUUAUCACGAGAUCAGUAAAAAAACAGCAUUCUAAACCCACAUCGCAUGAGUUUGCAACCGAAUAACGUUACCUAAUGUUUAGAGUUAUGGUUUGAGGGCCGCAGGAUUGUUGUGACUGCCACCAUGUUCAACUGGUCGACGUUUGCCUGGUAAUUAGCUAUUCUUCGGUAAACCUCGUUUGUGAGCUUAGCUUCGCCCUGUUCGAAAUUUUGCAAUGGGGUUAUUGGAGAAACUAGAAUUAUCCUGUCUCUACGUAGGUGUUGUGUAUGGUGAGAAAUCUUUUCCACUGAUUUGUGGGUUGAGCGUCGAAUUUCGCUUUGAUCAGGAACAUCUCUGAAGGGCCUUCAAUCGAUGUGCCUGGCGUUGAGAAACCAGUGCGCUGUGUGUAAGUUUCACUGCUUUGAGUUUGUGCAUAUAUAUAUAGUUCUUGAUAAUUUUAUCAUUUGCAGCAGUGUCAGUAAGUACGUACGUAUGUGUGUGUACAUAUAAAUGUACUCAAUAUAAUUUACCAAUGUUAAUCAUAGUGUAAGCGGAUAUGCAGAAACGUUUCAGUUCCAAAUCCUUUCCCCUGGACUUCUCCAGAUAUUUCUAAAUUGUGAGAUACAAUUCUCACCACAUUGUAUUUACUAGAGAGGUUCAUUGAGAUAGAGUUCAUUUUGAUUUGUAUGUUUUAUUGUAUCUGUUGAAAUUUGCCAUGUUUAGGAGCUGGCAUUUGGUGUUUGUAUAAUGGAGUUUAUUUAAACUAUUUUUAAGAUGUCGUUCAUGAUUUGUGUCAAAAUUACCCUUUAGACAUGGAUGAACAUAUAAAUUAAUAAAUAAAUAAAAAUUGCAUUUUAAUAUGUGAAUGUUGAUGAUGUAGGAACUUCACAUUUCCAGUGUUUCCGCCUUCACAGAGGAGUCCAUGGUUCAGUGUUAUAAACAGAACCACCUUCCCACCUCUUCCUUCUAUUCCUUGGAAUCCUUUUAAAUUUGGUCUAUCUCCUCUACCUCAAUUCCAACCACCUAAUUUUACAUUUCCUGAUCUUCCUCCCUUGCCCCAACUUCCUCCUUUAAAUUUCACAUUACCUCCUUUACCCCAACUCCAUCCUCUUAAUUACACAUUUCCACCUUUGCCCGAAGUGGUCCCUCCUAAUAUCACAGUACCACCUUUAUCUCCUCUUCCUUCCAUUCCACCUCUCAUAAAUGACCCCGUUUUUAACAUCUCAAAUAUUACUUCAUUCCCACCGUUACCAAGUGUUCCACAAUCUCCGCCACUUCCCCUACCAAAUAUCACCUUACCAACAUUUCCACCCCUUCCACCCCUCAAUUUCCCCUCUUCCAAUGUGUCUAGAUUUCCUCCCAUUUUUAACACUACUUUUCCAAAGUUUCCACCCUUGUCUCCAAUUCCAGGACUCCCAAGUGUGGGUGUUGGAGUGAAUGGUAGUGUGGGUGUUAACACCACCAUUCCAAGUGUUGGAAUUAAUGGAACUGUUUGUGCAAACGCAACCACUCCGCCAAUUGGGUCACCUCUUUCGGGUACCAUUAUCAAUUCUACAAUCCCUUCACUACCACCUAAUUUUACAUUUAGUAAUCCACCACUCCCUCACCUUAUGGCUCCUAAUUUCACCUUUGUGUUUCCACCUUUGCCUCACUUCACACCACCCAACUUUACUUUCCCACCUCUAAAUCCUAAUUUUACACAUUCCAACUUUACUCUUCCACCACUUCCCGAGUAUACUCCACCUAAUAUAACAUUGCCAUCAAUCCCACCUUUGCCUCAAUACACACAUCCUAAUUACACCUUGCCCACCGUGCCACCAAGUUAUGAGAUUUUGCCCCCAAAUUUCACAUUUCCUCCCUUGCCUCAAAUUGUUCUACCAAUUAAUCUCACUCUUCCUCCAAUUCCUCCCUUCAUACCACCAAAUGUGACUCUCCCACCUCUUCCUACUAUUACUAAACCUAAUUUCACCUUUUAUGAUAUUCCACCUUUGCCACAAUAUGAGCCUUCUAAUUUAACUUCACCUCCUCUUCCAGAACUCACACCUCCAAAUUUAACGUGGCCAUGGCCAUGGUCCAUUGGAAUUAAUCUCACAAAUAUUACUAUUGGGGCC